rnacentral:lncRNA from 1 species
GAAAAAUUGCCAAAUAUCCAAGAAAUGAAUAAAUCUCAGCAAGAGAAAUAAAUGAUCAACAAAAUAAUUCAUCGCAUGCUUUUCAUUUAAAACAAAGGUCCACUCACAAACUAGGCCUAAGCCUGAUGACGCUCCGAGCUUCCUCUGCUCGGGCCUCCUCUCGUUCUGUUCCAAAUAUAUAAUUAAUUUCGCACUAAAAAUCCAAUAAUUAAACACAAUGGGCAAAAUUAAACGUGAGCCUCCCACACACUCAUCAUUGCCCAAAUUCGCCAUUCCUAACCCAAUAUGGCUCAAACUUCACCCCAACAGACCGGCAGCCCUAAAUCAACCUUCCACAGAUUAAUGGCUUAAUUCCCUCGGCCGGAUUCUACAUUAAUUAACCGUCAAAAAUACCACACUUCAGAAAUUCAUAAACCUAUCCAAAACUCAUCCAAAAAUUCCAUAACUCACUUCAAUAAACUCCCCUUAAUAUUCCAAAUUUAAAAACAUUAAAAUCUCCCAAACAGCUCCGGCGCCCGCGCCGGCCGGAGGCCGAUUCCGACGACCUCCAAUUCCUAUGAAAUUUUGACAGAAUAAUCCUCUCAUCAUGCUCUACAACUUUCCUAACUAGCACAAACCCAAAAUCCAAGCCUAACAAUGCCAAUCGAACGAAAACAACACAAAAAGCCCUAGAGCUUCCACUCACCGGUUCUCCUCACCUGAAGCAAACUGGACCGAGUCCUUCUAGGGCAAGGCAACUGGGUUAGAGACCUACAAAACCGUACCAAGCUUGCCCAGAUUGGUGGCCGGAGGAGGGAGUUCCGGCGAUGGAGGACUUUGGACAGUCGCGGGUUCUAGGCAGGAGAACUCCUUCCCGGCGGCGCUAGGGCGGCUAUCACUGGUCCAGAGAUGUAAUUGGGUCAGAGGCCAACAGUUUGGGACCGGAGCGGCGGCGAACGAUGGCCGGACGGCGGCGGGAGGACGGCCGAUAAACCGGGCAGCGGGAGAGGCUUGGGGAGGGGAAAUCGGGAGAGAAAAAGAGAAGGGAGAAGAGAAAGAGAGGAAAAUUGGGUUGGGCUUCUCCAACCGGUCCAACACCACCAUUAUACCCAACUCCCAAAAAAAAUAAAACACCCCGAAAAAUAAUACCUUAAAAAAAAUUACCUUUUACUAGCUAAAAUUUACCAUUUUUAUUAGUUGUCAUAUUUUUCUCCCACGAAUAAUUCUUCUGAGAUAAUCGUCCCUCUAACACCUCUAGGGCCAAUUAAAUUAUAACCUUAAUGACAGAGACGGUAAAAUUCUUAUUAUAAUCAUGCUAGUAAAUAAGGUAAAAAUUUAAUGGUCGGGAUGUGACAGCAGCCUUUUGUGGUUCCUCCUCUUCUACGGCCUCUGCUUCGUCAAUGUAUUUAAAAUUUGCCACCUAUAGCACAUGAUGCAGUUUUAUUUAGUUUAACGGAAAAUAAGUGCAACAAAAGAAAACAAACCAGGAAACAGAGGGAGUGAAAUAAGAUAUCAUAUGGAACAUGUUGUCAACAAGUCAACGAUGUUUUCAUUGAAUAUAUAAAACCAAGGAACUGCCAAAUGUUGCAACCCUUGAUUACUAAACACGGUGGAAGUAGAACGGCAGACUAAGUUUAUGAUUUCUACAGACAGAAACUCCAGACACCAACAAUACCCAGAUGAAUAUCUCUUUCCUCUACAUAAAGGUAAAGCUAAUUCAUCAGAAAGCUAUUAUCACAGGUAGGUUUCUUAUAUUUACCUUCACAUAUAUACUCAUACAAAACCACUUGAGGCAUAUUUUCUUAGAAUGAUAGAUACGAAUUAAUGACUACAUUUUCUAUCUCUUCAAACUUUGAUACGUGUUUGACUAACAAAAUUUAUUAGGAUACAACACAUCUAUGUAUAUAAGGAAGAAAAUCAUGAUAAAAUGCACAAAGAAGGGAAAGAAUCAAGAGUAUUACUGCAUCGAAAGUGCUUGACACAGAAAACGAAGAUUCACAACUCCAACUCUUCAAAAUUCUGUUUCUAAUCAUCAAAUUUCAUCAAAAGAGAGAACAAAUCCGAAGCAUCGUGCACCAAUUUGUGUGUUAAAUGAACCAAAACGAGUCCGUUUUACACAGAUGAACUGGAAAUUCCAAAACGAUUACCAAAACAAACAUCGAGUUUAUAGCGAUCGUUGAUGAUUACCUGAAGAAGCGAGUCCUGCUCGAUGAUCUCCCCAAAAAGUUUAAGAGCCUGAUUCGUUUAAAAAGAAAACCAGAUGGAAAAAAAUUGAGGCGAAAUGAAGAAAUAAAGGCGAACACUCAAUUUGAGCUUGUCGUCAGAGAUCAAGAAGUGCUCAGAGUAGACCUCUCUAGAAAUCGAAUCAUACCUGAAUGGAGCUUGAAGAUCCUGAUGUUGGUGGAGGAGCUGAAUGACAGAUCCACGGCUCCCACCAUUGUCCCGGCCGCCAUGUACGGCCCGUCCGGCGCGACCGCCAUCGACGCAGAUUUGUUCACCCCUUUUAUACACGCCAUGGCUCAAAAGAUUGUGCCAAUCUUGGAAUCAAUCUAUAUAGAGAUGGCCGGAGAGUAUAUAGGGUUGAUGGGAUUGGGAAUUUGGAAUUUCUGGGGUUUGAAAAAGACGGCCGGAGAGAGAGAGAGGUCUGAAGAAGACGGAGACGGGAGAGUGAGAGGAGAGAUUGGGGGGUGAGGGUAUUAUGGUCAGCAAAAAUAGGUCAAUUGCUGAAAAUUUGGUUAGUGGGAAAACACUCUUAGAGUAUAUAGGGUUGAUGGAAAUUUUAGAUUCUUGUUUUGUUUGUGGGAAAAAAAAUCCUCAAAAUUAGGGUGGUGUUCUAAGAUAUUCUGUAUGUUUCUAGAUAUUCUUUAUGUGUGCCUUGGCCUUAUGCCAAUAGGAUAUGUAGUUAGACUAGAUCUAUGUAUUCAUAUCCUUACCAUAUUGGUAUUGUGUAAUUCUUUAUAUAAAUGGCUCAUAUCAAUGAAUAAGAUGAUGAUACUCUUGCUAUCUCUUUGUCUAUACACUUUAUACUUCAUCACGUUAUCAUGCACUUUGUUCUAACCUUAUAACUAAUAGCCCACCAUUUUUUUUCCAAACCCUAAAAACCAAAACCGGAGGUUCUCGGCCCUGCCUCGGCCGCCGCCACCGCCGCAGUCGCUUCCCGGCCGUCCACUACGCUGCUUUCUUUUCAUCCGAUCAAGCAUCUAAGUGUUUACAGCACCAAAAAUCCCGGAAUUUUAUUCGUGGAUCAAGAGUGUGUUGGAUCACUCUUGUUUCCUUGUCCGGGUUGUGUAUGAUCAACCCCGACCUAUCACCNNNNNNNNNNNNNNNNNNNNGGUUCUCGGCCCUGCCUCGGCCGCCGCCACCGCCGCAGUCGCUUCCCGGCCGUCCACUACGCUGCUUUCUUUUCAUCCGAUCAAGCAUCUAAGUGUUUACAGCACCAAAAAUCCCGGAAUUUUAUUCGUGGAUCAAGAGUGUGUUGGAUCACUCUUGUUUCCUUGUCCGGGUUGUGUAUGAUCACCCCCGACCUAUCACCGGAUUGUGUUUGAUCAAUCCGAGGCCUUUUCUGAAUUGUGUUUGAUCAAUUCGCGGUUUUCCGAAUUGUGUAUGAUCAAUCCGAAGGACAAACCAUUAAAAGCAUUGUUUGUGACCUUUAUCGAGUCUCAUAACAGCUUCGUUUUGUAUGCAAGAGCAAUGUAACAUUCUGCUCCUUUGAGUUUUGACGUACUCGAUGCCUAAGGCGAAUCUUCGCUUGGUAUAUGUGGAACCUUUCAUUGGAAAGGAUUAAACCACAUGUUUUGACCCCCAGACUAACAAGCCUAGAUGCCGAGAUUUCACAUCUCAUGCGCUCAAAGUCUUUGAUGCGCCACAUGACAAAAGCCUUCAAUGGCAUCUGUGCAAAAAGUAAUGACCACAAAGUACUGUGGAAUGCACUCAUGGAGCAUUUCUCGAAACGUUCAUAUAACUCUACUUGUUGAGUUAUUAGUCAAGUGGAUUACUUACCACCUUAAUUGACUACAUAUUGUCGAUGAUCUUUUGUGGCAUCAUGAUCCAUAAUCUUUAGUCGAUUCGAUCAUCAUCAAGUUCUCUCUAAGUUGGUUUGGAAUUACCAACGAAACUUGAUUUUGAUCAUACAAACGGGAAUUGUAUAUACGCUAAUGUGAUAAACUUAUUUAGGAUUAUCCCCUAAUGUGGGGACAACAAUAUGGGUCAUAGCAAUGGCAGAAAACGUCGUGCGAUGUCUAGAAAAGGGGGGGAUGUGUUGCCGGCUCUAAUAGCGACACUCCCAGUCUAGACACCAUUUUGUCAAAACUACUCACAUCAGCUCAUGACAAUGCAACCGUUGUGGAUCUUCGGAUCACUGGUUCAAGAUUGUCCAGCUUCUUCAAAUUAUGAAUGCAUACAAAAAGGUACGGAAAAUCAAUAUGAGGUCAAGGACGUCAUCCUCAUGAUCGCGAAUUUUGAAGAUUCAGAUCCUACUCUAGCUACCCCUGACUUUGACGUCAUCGGCGAGACAUUGAUUUUCGUUUCAAGCUAUAUGUACUAAGGCGUUGUAUCGAUGUUCUUCGUCUAUUUGUGACCUCGAUGUACUCACAUUGGCAAUAAUGAAUGCCUUGAGAAUUUUUUCGAAGUUAUGAAACUAUUCUCCUCUUAUGGUUCGUAUUGAUUUACAAACAAGAUAUACAUUUUUACAUCGUCCUUAGAAGCAUGGCAUAUUUACAAUCUACAUGGUUAGAUUGUGCCGUUUUGGUCUCUUCCAAGUGAAGAUGACGCACGGCCUUGCAUCCUCAAGAAGGAUCGCUAACGUGUUUCCGGUUAAGUCUUCUACCCUUUAGCGGAUUUUUCAUCAUCAAUUGUUCAACUAGGCUCAUCCAAACUCAGUGUGAUGUCUUAGAAUUGUCCGAAAUUAAGGAGAUAGUGGUUUCAAGUGUGCCUCGCACUACCGACCCUCCACGGACAUGCCUGGUCAUACUGACUUGGAGUUACCAAAAGCUUUUGAUUUUGGAUCCCCCUACGCUAUUAAACCAAUUGCCGUCUUGAAAAAGACGUUGAAGACUUAUCAAAACCUGAAAAUUAUCAUCAUGAUCGAAUCCUCUAGGUCCUCUGAGUUAGUUUAUGUUCAUGUCAGGGAGCUUUCGCUAAGUAGUCAUGGAGUUUACUACCUUAGAACGACCGAAAGGACUUGAUUUUGAUCAUACACAUGUCACUUUUGGCUAAGGCAAAAGCCUACACGCCACCUGCAAGUUUCACAGCUUCGCACAUGCCAAUUCUGCGAAAAACAGAAAUCUGUCCCUUCUGUCAACUUCGUUUGAGCUUUGUGAACAGCUCCGGACGAACCAGACAGUGAGCUUUAUAUCAUUGGAAAGCUCUACGAGUCUAUUUUUCAGAACUUUUCGCGGUUCGUCGAUAUCUAUUUUAACGAAGAAGUUAUGGCUGUUUUAGUACGCAAAGGUCAUUCUGCGCGAAAAUUUUUAUGCACUCUCGGGAUUGCAGCUUUUCGUAGCUUCUUUCAAUCCUUCUAAAUGGUUCAAGUGGAACUAUUAACUUGCCUAUCUACUCCUUGUAGAUAUGUCUUAUCUAGACAUGGAGUGCUUCGCAGAUAGUGGAACUAUCCACAACAUUCUAAGGAUCCGGCAACUAUCUUUGGAUUUUGUGCCUUUGUAAAUCUUCUAUGACUACAAUGAUUGAAUCAUACCAGUCAUUCAAGGACGUGGUUUAGCUUAAAUCUUGAUGCCUCAUGGCACCAUGAUCAAUGUCACAGAUACCCUCUAUGCAUUGAGAGGCAAUCGAACCAUAUUGAGCUUUAAAGACAUUCCUGCUAAUAGUUUUCAUUUGAAAACACAUUGUGAGAAUGAACAAGAAUUCUUUUGUGUAUACCAUGAUCAAUGUCACAGAUACCCUCUAUGCAUUGAGAGGCAAUCGAACCAUAUUGAGCUUUAAAGACAUUCCUGCUAAUAGNNNNNNNNNNNNNNNNNNNNNNNNNNNNNNNNNNNNNNNNNNNNNNNNNNNNNNNNNNNNNNNNNNNNNNNNNNNNNNNNNNNNNNNNNNNNNNNNNNNNNNNNNNNNNNNNNNNNNNNNNNNNNNNNNNNNNNNNNNNNNNNNNNNNNNNNNNNNNNNNNNNNNNNNNNNNNNNNNNNNNNNNNNNNNNNNNNNNNNNNNNNNNNNNNNNNNNNNNNNNNNNNNNNNNNNNNNNNNNNNNNNNNNNNNNNNNNNNNNNNNNNNNNNNNNNNNNNNNNNNNNNNNNNNNNNNNNNNNNNNNNNNNNNNNNNNNNNNNNNNNNNNNNNNNNNNNNNNNNNNNNNNNNNNNNNNNNNNNNNNNNNNNNNNNNNNNNNNNNNNNNNNNNNNNNNNNNNNNNNNNNNNNNNNNNNNNNNNNNNNNNNNNNNNNNNNNNNNNNNNNNNNNNNNNNNNNNNNNNNNNNNNNNNNNNNNNNNNNNNNNNNNNNNNNNNNNNNNNNNNNNNNNNNNNNNNNNNNNNNNNNNNNNNNNNNNNNNNNNNNNNNNNNNNNNNNNNNNNNNNNNNNNNNNNNNNNNNNNNNNAUAGUAUUUGUAGUACGUUAGUAUGUAUAUAUAUAUAUAUAUAUAUAUAUAUGUGUUGAUCGAUUUGGUUGAUGAUUUGAUAAUAUAUAUGAAGUUGUUGUUAAUAAGUAGUAGAUAUAUAUAUAUAUAUGUUAAUUAAUUUAUAAUAUUGUGUUGAUGGUAUGAAGUUGUUGAUGAUGAUUUUGUGAUGAUGUUGAUAGAUAUAAUAUUGGUAUGUAAUUAUUAAUUAAGUAUAUCUAUAUAUAUGUGUGUUAAUUAAUUUGUUAUCAAUUAGUUGUAGUACGUAGAAUAUAUAUAAAUGAAUUGAGAUUUUAUAUAUAUAUGGCAUAGAAUUUAAUUAAGAAUUAACUAGCGUUAUACAUAUAUAUUUUGUUAUAUUUUCAAGAUAUGGAUAAGAGUUGGAUUUCGCUUCCAAAAUGGGACAAAAGAUAUGGUAAAGGAAUUAUGAGUUUUCUGGAAUAUGCGCUGGCUAAUGCUAACGGGAAUACAAUUUUCUAUUGCCCGUGCACGAAAUGUCAGUGUCGCGAUGAAAUGCAUCGAUUUGCGAUUGACAAAGUAUGGCAGCACCUGAAGAGUAACGGGUUUUGGGAGAAGUACACAUGUUGGUUAUAUCACGGUGAAACAUCAUCAGGGGGUCCGCAUGAUCAUGGCCAAUUUUCUGAGACGGGCAGUACAUCCAACGAUCCAACAACGGCCUUCAUCAACGACAUGUUUCCUUAUGAGAGUGGUGUAUGCACUCAAGGACAGUAUAUGUCUGACCCGGUGCAGCCCUUCCCUAGAGCUGUCAACACUGCUGGUAUUAACAAGUACAACAAACUGCUUGCUUUCCAAUAGACCCCUGUGUACCCCGGUUGUCAGAAGACCGUUGUUGAAAGUGUGAUGGACGUAAUGAAGAUUAAAGUUGAGACAAAAUCGACUGUGAAAGCUGUUGAUGAUUAUCUACAGUACACUGCUUCGAUGCUGCCCCACGGUCAUCGUCUUCCUACCACUCAUCAUAAGGUUCAAUGUAUCCUGAAAGAUCUUGGGCUUUCCUACAUCAAGAUCCAUGCAUGCAGAUAUAACUGCGUUCUCUUCUGGGGUAAAGAUCUAGAAGGGAAUGACCUUAGUGGCCUUGACGCAUGUUCGGUAUGUCACACUGACAGGUAUAAGCUGACUCCUGCAGGCAACUGGAAACCUGUGAAGGUACUUCGGUAUUUUCCUUUGAGGGAUAGGCUGGAGCGGUUGUACAUGUCUUCACACACGGCCGAAGCUAUGAGAUGGCACGCUGAUAGGGAAUUGCAUGACGAAGAUACCCUUAUACACCCUGCUGACGGGGAGGCUUGGAAGCAUAUAGACAGGGAGUUUCCUCAUUUUGCGUCAGAGGUCCGAAAUGUGAGGCUCAGGCUCUCAUCCGAUGGGUUCAACCCUUUUGGCAACAUGAGUCUUCAAUACAGUGUAUGGCCGAUGAUUUUGGUACUAUACAACCUUCCUCCAUGGAUGUGCAUGAAGAAGAAAUACAAUAUGUUGAGUUUGUUGAUUCCGGGGCCCGGUUAUCCAGGGAAGUGUCUCGAUGUGUAUUUGAGACAUUUGAUUGAAGAGCUUAAAUUUUUGUGGGACGUUGGUCAUCCCACAUAUGACAAGUACAUGCACAAGAUGUUCCAGAUGCAUGUCAUGGUUGUUGGUACCAUCAGUGAUUUUCCUGCCCGUGGGAUGUUGUCGGGCAACGUUGUUAGGGGAUACAAGGCUUGUCCAGAGUGCCAUAGCGAUGAGGGGAGCAACAGUCAUUGCAACAAGAUAUGCAAAUUGGGUCACCGUACUCUCCUUCCAUAUGAUCACGAAUGGCGGCUCGAUGCACAGGCAUUUGAAUGGACCCUAGAAAACGGUGUGCCUCCCAGAAGAUGGACGGGGGAAGAAAGUUUAGCAGUGCUUAAUGAGUACGAUUUUGGGCAACUCAGCAAUCAUCCCAAUAUUGUGGCGGCAAUACCUGAAAGACCCGACAGGUACAAAUUAUGGACACAUGAGAGCAUAUUCUGGAAACUCCCAUACUAGAGUAAGUUGUUGAUCAAGCACUACCUAGAUGUGAUGCACAUAAAAAAGAAUAUUUGCGACAGUGUGGUGGACACAGUGCUGAACUUGGAGGGGAAGACGAAAGACGGUCCUAAGGCACGCAUUGAUCUAAAAAAAAUGCAAUUAAGAAGACAUCUAUGGUUGAAAGAAGGGAAGAAAAAAAUGCCUCAAGCUCCUUACACCGUGAAGCCUGACCAGAAGAACCUAAUUUUCAGGUGGAUGAGUUGUGUGAAGUAUCCUUCAGGCUAUGCAGGAAAUAUAGCCCGGUGUGUGAACUUCCGGGACAAUAAGAUAUACGGGUUGAAGAGUCAUGACUGUCAUAUCCUGCUACAACGUCUCUUCCCUGUUUUCAUUCGACCGUUCCUUCCCCGUCAGGUGUUUAUGUUUAUUGCAUAAUUAUCCAUAUUUACAGUUGAAUGGUUGGUUGCAGAUGAACCAUAUUCAAUUUGAUGGUCACCCAAAUUGGUUGCACGAACUAAGACUUCUAGCGAUGAAGCCGAUAAUGUCAAGAAUUUAUCCGAUGUGCAAGGUGAAUGGCGUGCAAUUUAUAUGCGAACAGAGAGACAGCAGACGGAGAACACAGAAUUCUGCGGUCAUGGCACAUGGUUGGCGGAAUGAAGUUGACUAUUACGGUGUUCUCCAUUCAGUGGUGGAACUCGUUUAUGGGCAAGGCAUGACAGUGCACCUCUUCAAGUGUAGAUGGUUUGAUACUAGGCCGCAGAGCAUGAAGACCGAUCAGUACGGAAUAUUAUCGGUGAACACUGCUACAAGUUCUUACGAAGAUGACCCGUUCGUUUUUGCCACAUCGGUAAAACAAGUGUUUUAUCUUGAUGACCUUGCUAAGGGUGACGCGUGGAAAGUAGUCAUCCUUGUGCACCCUCGAAACAUUUACUGGGCGGCUACACUUGAAGAGGCCGAAGACGAGGAAGAAGAUGUUGUGUAUCAAGAGCCCAACGCAAUAGGUAUUCCUAAUUCCUCUACCGUUCGCCUUAAUAAUUUUAAAGCGGGUCGUUCGGUGCGAAUUCGUGAUGAAGAGCCAAGGCUUAUUGAUGUUGAUCCAAAUCAAGAAACAGACGAAGACUCUGGCGAUGAGGAAAGACAUAUAUUACCAGAAAUUAAUUCUGACACCGAAGAAGACUCAUCGGAUGAUUCCGAUUACGAGCCUUAGUUUUAAUUUAGAGGACGUAAUCCAUUAAUUUGUAUAACUAAAGACCUUUUCCUUUAUAGUUUACAUAUGUUGAAUUCAUAUUUCAGUUAUUUUAUAUGAAUUUUGGUGAUAUAUGAUGAACAGGAAGUUAGUAUGGUUUACUAAUACCUUCUGUUUUUUUAAUGUAUUUUUUCCUUUAGCCGACAAAAUACACCAUAAUUCGUCGGCUAAAACUAUCUUAGCUGACGAAUUAUAGUNNNNNNNNNNNNNNNNNNNNNNNNNNNNNNNNNNNNNNNNNNNNNNNNNNNNNNNNNNNNNNNNNNNNNNNNNNNNNNNNNNNNNNNNNNNNNNNNNNNNNNNNNNNNNNNNNNNNNNNNNNNNNNNNNNNNNNNNNNNNNNNNNNNNNNNNNNNNNNNNNNNNNNNNNNNNNNNNNNNNNNNNNNNNNNNNNNNNNNNNNNNNNNNNNNNNNNNNNNNNNNNNNNNNNNNNNNNNNNNNNNNNNNNNNNNNNNNNNNNNNNNNNNNNNNNNNNNNNNNNNNNNNNNNNNNNNNNNNNNNNNNNNNNNNNNNNNNNNNNNNNNNNNNNNNNNNNNNNNNNNNNNNNNNNNNNNNNNNNNNNNNNNNNNNNNNNNNNNNNNNNNNNNNNNNNNNNNNNNNNNNNNNNNNNNNNNNNNNNNNNNNNNNNNNNNNNNNNNNNNNNNNNNNNNNNNNNNNNNNNNNNNNNNNNNNNNNNUUUUUUAAGUCAUAUGCUUUGUUGAUAAUGAACUUGAAGCUUGCAUUCCAUGAUUAGGUACUGCAUUCAUCGUGGGCUGGGUAUGAAUUUUUAAACAUAAGAUACAAAAUACAAAAUAGAAAAACCUAUAUCAAAUCCGGAUGAAUAUAUAUAUAUAUAUAUAUUUUUUUAAUUGAAUUCAUAUUUUUGAAUAAGUAUAAUUUUAAAAAUAUAUAUAUUUCACAUUAUAUUAAGUGUUUAAAUUUAAGCAUGAACAUAAUGAAAAAAUAUGGUUUCAAAAAUAUUUUUUAUAGAAUAAAGACAAAAUAAUCUAGAGCCUUAGAUUUGAGAAGGAUAAGAUUGAAUUUUUACUUUUUCAAUGUUGCCUCAGCUUUGAAUUAACGAGCAACAUUGAAUGAGUGUAUCCGCCCAUACCUCAACCUUGAUUCAAAUUAAUAUUUUAAAUAGGAUGAGCGGCUAUUUUAGAUCAAAGAAGAGUUCGAAGGGCCAAAGGUACGAAUCUUCUGAGGGAACCUCUAGCAACCCUCAAACGUCGUUUUAGGGCCAGAUGACAGCCAGACGUGCGAGCCUUCUGGAGACGGCGCAGAGACAGCCGGAGGUGCCCCUUUCAUCGAGGCAGGCCGGCGUCCCUCGUUCCUCGAGGCAGCUGUGGCCUCAGACCCAAACGGAGGUGUCUGCACCCCGUAUGCCUGAGAUACACCGGGCGCCCACUCCGGGUCCUACUUCUUCAGAUAGUGAGUCAUCUGGGGUACAGAUGCCACCGCCUCAUCUGUUCCUUCCGCAGAUGAUACCGGCCUUACCUAUAGUCGAUGGCUCAGGGACGCUGAUUUAUCCACUGCCCCCGCCAGUGGCUCCAUCAGCGGCGUACCGGUUCGUGCCUUUUGAUACGCCUCUUAUUUCCGCGAGGAUAUCAUCAUCAGCGACAGAGACGGAAUCCGUCGCGUCCGCCGCGAGCGCCUCAGGUAAUCAGUGAUGAAUGAUUUGUUUUCUUAUAAUUAAUAAUAAAGGGCCUCCAAUUUUAAUAAUCAAUUUGGUUUAUCAUGUGAUAGGCACCGUCGGAGCGAAGCCGACAAAGAAGAAGAGAGGCCCCGUCACAAGGAAGGCUCUCGAGAAAAUCGUGGGUACCGUGGGGAGGAUCGUCAUCAAUACUGACGGGGAUGGCCACAUAGUAUCGGGCGGGAAGUCGAGGACGUACCCCGGCCGCGUGAGAGCGCUCAUUAGGGAUAGAGUCCCUAUGUUGUGGUCAGACCGGGGCGAGGUCCCGCAGGAGGUUAAGGACAUGGUCCACAACGCGAUGUCGGUGAGUUUACAAAAUAAUAUUAUGUAUUACAUUGUUGAUUUCUCGAAAAACUAAACUAAUAAACGGUUAAAUACAGGUGUGGUUUGAGGUUCCCGAGCACCUGAAGGACAGCUGGGCGGACGUUGCGCAUGGGGGAAGGUACGUUGGGAAGUUAAUGAAAAACAAAAUUGUAUGUGAUAUUAAUAAUAUUUCUAAUAUUUUUGUUGUAUCUGUAGGUACAAGGAGUGGAAGAACGAGUUGCGGACCCACUAGACUACGCACGGGAACGCACGUUUUGGUACCCCUGCUGAGUUCCAGUAUAGGGAGUACGAGUGGCGUUGGCUUCUGACAUCAGAAUUCAACAACCCUCGUAAACAGGUAUUUAAAAAAUUAAUUAGUUAAUUUGUCAUUAAGUACGUCCGUUUUUAAAUAUUUUACUAAUAAUUUAUUUUUUUCUUUGAAGGCCGUUUCCUGAGCGAACUCUCAGAACCGGCAACGCAACACAAGGAACCAUCAUGGCGGUUCUAGACCGUUCGCUGUCUUCAUGGACGAGGCGGCCAAGGAACAUCCAGAAGUCAACCGGUAAGUCUAUACGUACGAGAAGGCAUAUCUUGACGCCUAGGAGAAUAUUGUAAGUCAUUUUACGUUUUUAGAUUUUUAAAUUUACUUAUAUAUAUGUCAAAAUGUUAAUUAAUAAUUUUUUUCUUAUCCAUAUAGGCGAAGGUGAGGGAGGCUAGUGACGAGGUGAUGAGUGCUAUAGUGAGGGAGACAUGGCCGGACACACAAGAGGAAGAGAUGUCCGAAGCCAUGUCCCGGAUCGACACUUCGGAUCCGACGAUUAGGGCGAGGAUCAUGGGCACAUCCUUCCCACCGAGAACAAACAACUUCUACUGCCGGGGUCUAGGAAAGAAGGGCGAGGGGGUCCUGAAGACCACUCCAGGAUUUCAACGAAAGGCAGCCUCGACCAGCAGCAGGACCACGUCCACGACCACCAGGAUGACUCAGCUAGAGUCGGAAGUUCAGAGACUACGGGAACAGCAAGCUGCUCAGGCUGCCUAUAAUGCCGCGCAGGCAGCCUAUGUUGCCGAGAUACAUGCCAUCCAGCAGGCCCAGCAGCAGCAAAUGUUCCAGUACAUGCAGGACUUUACAGCUGCCCAGCUUCAGGGACUUCCGGCUCCACCCAUGCCUACGGCUAUACCGCUACCCCAGCCGCCGCAACCUCCGCAGCAACCCCCAGAAGCGGAUAUUAAUUUAGAUGAUUUAGAUUUUGUGUAGUUGAUGAAUUAUAUAGUUUUAUGUGCUUGUUGUUGGUUAUAUGGAAUUGUUUAGGUGUAUUUUGCAGCUUGCUUGGAAUGGUAAUUUAGAAAUUUCGGGGUUUUUUUUUUUACUGGAAUGGACUUAUAGCCGACGAAAAACGCCUUAAUUUAUCGGCUAUAGUAUUUUUUUUUUAAAAUAAGUUUAGCCGACGAAAUACGCUUUAAUUCGUCGGCUAACCCUAUAAGCGACGAAUAGACUAUAUUUCGUCGGCUUUAGUUAUUUUAAUUUUUUUAUUACAUAUUUUAGCCGACAAAUAUAUUAAAUGUUUCGUCGGCUAAAGUCUGAGAAAAAACCGACGACAUUUUUUUCGUCGGCUAAACUCUAGGACUAUAGCCGACGAAUAUAUUAAAUGUUUCGUCGGCUAAAGUCUGGGAAGAUAACCGACGACAUGUUUUUCGUCGGCUAAACUCUGGGACUAUAGCCGACGACAUCUUCAUGUGUCGUCGGCUAAAGUCACCACAGACGACCUUUUCCCGACGAAAUCUUAGUCGACGAGCUUUCACCGGCUAAGAUCUUAGCCGACGAAUUAAGCUAACAGACCGAUGAAAAUUUUUCGUCGGCUAAAGUGCUUGUCCUGGUAGUGAAUUGAGGUGCAUCGGCCUUCCCUCGAUGUCGCAUUGGCCCCCUGCAAUGCUCAUUGUUCGUUUUGAAAGCCUAUUCUUUAGCUAAAUUAGGAGUGAGACCUUCCUACGCUAAAUAACACAAAAGUGAACAUUCUAUUUUUACAUCAAACUAUGUAGAUAGAUACAACCAACUUGCGGACACCUUUUUAUGCUUUAUGGUGUUGGUUGAAGUGUUAACACACUGGUCACGUGUUUCAUUAUUAUCUACUGUUUAUGCUGCUUAUACUUCUACGGGCUCACUACCCAUUAUUUAAAGAAGUUUAUCAGGAUGUAAGUUGAAGUGUCUUGUACCCCAUGUUCACAUGCAAUACGGUCUCACCGAGGCUACGACCAAGCAACUUUAGCUUGUUGCUCGAAUAUUAUUAAUGCGCACCAAUCUUUCUAUUGCGUCUUGGGGCUAUGCAAUAUUUGCAUGCAGCUUUACUAUUCAUCUACGACCCACCAUCAUUGAAUAUUGUUGUACUAAAGCUCGUGACUGUGUACCAGGAUUGACACGAAAUUGCAAUCUUUGAGCUCGAAAGAAUUGAAACGGAUCUCCAAUCCUUGAGCUUAGCUAGAUAUUUAUUCUAGCUGCCAAAUCGCACUGCCACUGCGCACAAUGAUGGGCCAUUUGAGAUGAACAAGUAUUUAGGUUGGAUGUGAACCUCCACUUAUAAUCCGCAUAUGUAGAAACCUUGUCAGACGAUUUCUUUCACCGCUAUAUUGCGGAUAGUCACUUUGAUGAGACAAUAUUCCCGCCAUUAAGGGGAGAUAAGAACACAAGUGUUCAAGUGGAACGACGUGAAUUGUCGUGGUUUGUCCCCACUAAGUCUCAUCUUGAUCCCAAAUGCUUAAAGUGUUAAUGUGACGAGAUCACAUGCUGCAAAUAUGUCUGUAAGGAUUGAUAUCUUAUCAAGAAGACAUGGCGCGACCAAAAGGAGUUGGUCUUGACGCCAUCAACAUAGAUGGUGAUAUGGUGACGUCAUAUAGUGGCAAAAUUGGUGUCACAAGGCCGUGUGGCUCCCCAAAAGGAGGGAGGCCCUUAAGUUCGAUAUUUUCUCGCACUAGGAAGAAAGCGAGCUUGGCACAACCUGAUCCAUUGAUCAGUGAUACUCAAAUCCGUCUCAUGAAGUCUGAAUUGUAAUUAUCGUUGGGGGACACCUCAAUGUCAAAUCUAAUCCAUACAGAGAUCUCUACAAGUAUUACACUAGUGUACAUGAGGACGUGGGAUAAUGAGUCUACUAUCGAACCACCUUUCGUUGAUGGAUAUCAACUUAGUUGAUUGGCCUAAUGGAAAGAUGCGAUCCAGCAUUAACAAAGAGAUAGGUCCUUAGGCAGGUGAUGCCGACACCGCAAGCUAAACCCUAUCAACUAUGCCUUUGUUAGAUAGCGUAGUGAGAACAAGAGCUUAGACUCACCUUAUGGCGCAAGGUCUCUCACUAACACGCACUGGGAUCGACUACGAUGAGAUAUGCUCUCCUAAUGGAUGUCAUUGAACUCCACUACUUUGUCAGUUUGGUAGUUUCUGAAUAACUGAACAUGCAGCCUAUGAAUGUGGUCAUAAUAACAUCUCUAUGGGAUCAAAGAUAUACAUAAAGGUCUUAAACGGACUUCAUUCAUCCGAAUCAAGUGGCUCCAAACCACAGUAGCAUGUGUUUGCUAAAUGUAUUGAAACGCACAUGGACUCUAGUUGAUUUGGAAGGGAUAUGGUGAAUUAUGCCUUUGCGUGUUCAUUUCGGAUUUACAUGGACUCUUGAUGGCUCAAGAGAUGCCAAUAUGUAUCAACAUCCGAAGAAAAAGAUCUUGGGAAGACACGGUCUCGAUAAGGCACUCGAUGACUGUAUUGAUGAUAAUUUUUCAUCAAUCGGCUUAGGCGCUCUAACGAAAGUGAGGCCUACAUAUACUCCCAUGAUUAGUCAAGGUCUUUGCUCUAAAGAGAGAUUCGUUGUUUUGUCUAAAGCAAGAUGAUAAAUAAUAUGUGUUAAGAGAUGGAGUUCCCAUCUAAGUACAAUAAGAUGCAUCAAUGUACUCAACACAAUACAAAAGACUUGACAUCUCAUUCGCUACGAAAAGUUGUAAAGCUAAGUGUAGCUAUGCGCCCAUGCAAUGUCAAUGUAAUGGCAGUAACUCCUUUUUCAAUACUUAAUGGUAUGAAAGGUUGAGGCUUAUUCUAUCCCUACAUAAGAAAGACACAUCAAUAGUGAAAUCAGAAUCUGCCAAGUUUCGUAGGUCAAGCUCCACGGGACCUACAGGAAACCUCACUCACUGGAAAAUGGUGAAACUGGUACCAUUGGAAAGAUCUAUGUGUCUACUUUCCAGGGACACCAACCAUUUGAUCAUACCUAUCAUAUUGAGUGAGUUAUGGUCAUUUUCGCAAAGUAGGAUGAAUCUGUCCGAGAAUCUGAUUUUGGUAAAACAGUCAACUUCGACGGGACUUUGUGAAUAGCUCCUAACGAACUAGAAUGUGUGUAAUAUACGGUUGGAAAGCUAAAUGAGUCUAGUUUCCAAAACCAUUUAUGGUUCAUUCAUAUGUAUUUCCUAGAGGAAGUUAUGACUGUUCUAGUAACUGAAGGUCAUGCUGCGCGGAAAUCUGAUUUCCUGCACGAACUUAUGUUUUGAGUUCACAAGUGGUCUUCUGCUCAAUAUCUAAGUUAAAAGAUCAUUUGAGGACAAUACGGCAUGAUUUAGUUAAUCAUUGCCGAAUGCCACAUUUGAAGACAUGUUAAAGAGCAUUGAUAUGCUAAGUUGUUGAAAUUUCCGUGAUUAGUAAGAAUCAGGAAGAGCCCUAUGAUUGAUGUAAAGAUUAGGGGGAGGUGCGAACUUCAGGGGGAGUCUAGCACAUACAUACAUGUCACUAUCAAAUGUGAAGGGUGCGUUGUACUCUUUUUCUCCUACGAUCAAGGUUCAGUUUUUCUCCCACAGGGUUUUUGUGACUUGACGAGGUUUUUGACGAGGCAACAGAUCAGCACCAUCGGCAUAUCAGCGCGCGGCACUAGGGGGAGUGUUUUAGGAUAUUUUGUAUCUUUCUAGAUAUUCUUUAUGUGUGUCUUGGCCUUAUGCCAAUAGGAUAUGUAGUUAGACUAGAUCUAUGUAUUCAUAUCCUUACCAUAUUGGUAUUGUGUAAUUCCCUAUAUAAAAGGCUCAUAUCAAUUAAUAAGAUAAGAUGAUGAUUCUCUUACUAUCUCUUUGUCUAUACACUUUAUACUUCAUUAGAUGGAAGGGAAUUUUCCCUUUUAUAAACUUAGACUAACUUCACCGACUCCUCACUUUAAAAGAGCCGGAUCCAUAUAUAUAUAUAUAUUAUAAAGUCAUAUUAUUAAGAAACUAUAAGCUUUGUGAUGGAGUUAAAAGGCUAAGGAGGGAGCUAUGCUACAGUAGGUUCUGCUGGAAAUAUAUAUAUUGAUCAUCCUGACAAACUUCUUUAACUUCAUAUACCAUUUCAAUCCAAUCCCCAACCUAGUUAAAUAAUAUUUCAUUAGGUUUCUGAUUCCUAAACUUGGAUUAUGUUUAUAUUCCUAUCAAUUAGCUAGGUUAUAUUACUUUUUAUGUUCUAGUUUGCUUUUAUUUGAUUCUCUAUAAAUACCUCCAAAAUAGAGAAGAAUAAAUUGUACAUCAAGACGUUUAUUACAAUAAAUAGCUCCCUCAUCAAAUUUAACAGGUUGCUAGUUAAAAAGAGCAAGUGAUGGCUCGUACCAAGCCAACUGCUCGCAAGUCAACUGCAGGGAAGGCUCCAAGGAAGAGCCUGGCCACCAAGAUUUCUUAUAAGUCUGCCCCAAGCACCGCUGGAGGUGAGAGGAAGCCACACAGAUUCCGCCCUGGUACUGUUGCUCUUCGAGAAAUCCACAAAUACCAAAAAAGCACUGAUCUCCUGAUCAGGAAGCUGCCAUUCCAGAGGCUGGUUCGCGAAACUGCACAGAACUACAAGUGACCUGCGUUUUAAUAGCCAUGCGAUAUUGGCAUUGCAGGAAGCUGCUGAGGCUUACCUUGUGGGUCUUUUUGAGGAUACCAAUCUCUGCGCUAUCCAUGCAAAGCGAGUUACGAUCAUGCCGAAAGAUAUGGAGCUGGAGGAUCAGGGGUGAGCUGCCUUAAUAGCGCUUUGCUUCCUCUGAAUGCAUAAGAUUGGAAGAUCGUGUUUUGUUUGGUUUUUCUUUUUGAAGUCAAGUGUUUUGGACCUUUUGGUACUAGUUCAUGUGGGAUUUGGUAUUUAGUUUUCAUUUCUGUUUUCUUUCUUGAUUUUUUUUAACGUUCAUUUUGUUUCAUAGUAUUUUGGUAAAAAAACUCUUUGAUUAAUAUAAUGCUAAUGUGAAUUUCUGAAAGGACAAAACCACAGUUCGAUAUCACCAUCCGUUUAUACGAUCUUGUAUAUUCUCCCCUACAAACCUUUUCAGUCAUGAACUACAUGCCAAGUAGACUAUUCACAGUGCCAUGCAUCUCCAUAUAUAUAUGUUUGGUUGGAGAGAAAAUUUGGGGGGACGGAGUAUUUGGAAUAGAAACGUUUAAUAGGAUUUUGGCUAAAUUUGAAGUGCCUGUACUUGUUAUGUUUGUCAGUAGGAUACUUGCUCUAUGGUAUGAAGUUAAAGUCUGCCAGUCUUUGAAAGGAUCAUACACCAGUUGAUGUAUUGAACCAGUUCUCAGAAAUGAUUAGUACUAGCAGAGGCGAGUUCCUUAAACCAUUCUGAGUUUGCAAGACAGGUAACAGUAAUGCAGCUUGUUCAACUGCGUAGGAAGAUGGACGAGGGAAGGAGAUUAUAAUAAGUUUUUCCGUAGUUGUUUAUAACAUGAUCGUUGACACUCCAUAUAAGGAUACACCAGUCAUAAUAAUUGACCAAGAGAUUUAUAGUCAGUCAUCCUUGGAUGUAAAACUAUUGAUCGGGAGAAUUAUUUUUAAGUAGAGUUGUUUUGUUUUCAACCUUUGGAUUUAAAUCUAGUGGUGAUUGACCAUGAAUCUACUGACCAGGUGAACACUACUAAUGGACACACUAGCAGAUUAACCAAGCUAGUUACCUUUUAGGUAGUCCUCAUUCUGAGCUCCCAUCACCUUGAAGUUCUUCAUCCUAACUGUCCCGAAAGAUUCUAUAAUAUUCUACUCAUUUGAAAUUUUUGGAAUUCAAGAACAUUUGAACUUGGCCUGAUUGACUUUUGUUUAAAGUCCUUUUAAGUUGGACCUCUAUACGUGUGUCUGUAUUUCUUCCUCUAUAGUGUUCUUGUUGCAUGUAGAUGUGCCUGCAGAACUUAGUCCUCUGUCUCUUCAGGUCAAGAAACAAACAAAAAAAAAAGUCACACAUGCACGCAUGAACUGAUAAACAUUAAUUUAUAUGGAGGACAUGAAUUAUAUAGGUGUUCAUGGAACAUAUUUUCUAUUCUCUGAUAUGGUUCUGGUUUGCUGUACUGGUAUGAACUUCCACCAUCGUUUUGGAGUAGAACACAUGACAAAAAAAAACACAACCCUCUAGCUACCCAGAGAAAGCCAAAAGAUUACAACCGUCAUAACCUGUUUUGAAACUUAAAAGACAUAACCGACACCAACUUAUUUGCUAGGAUAAUCAAGAGAUCACGGACAAUUUAUUAUUUUGACACCAAACGCCAAAUAUCGGGUUUACUAUUUCCACAAUUAAUAUGUUUUUCUGACUGAAAGUUACUCCAAAUUUCAUCCAUCGAUAAAAUCUGACUUUUCGCACGAGCAACCCCAAAAGUCCAUAAUAACAACUUUUUUAAUGUUCCAGUGGACAUUAACUUCAUUAUUCAUGAAUUACCCAUCUUCCGAUCAUUAUUCUCAAUUCUAGACCGCUUUCAAACUUUUGUCUUUUUCUUGUUAAACUGAGCUUGUUCUUAUCCUACGUUAGUUGAGAUUUUGAAAACCAAAAGAAUUUUUUUUGCUGUUGUAUCUUUCUUCUGGCCCCUCCAACGUUUAGCUUUUAGUUCCGCCACUGUUGUCAUUAUCUCAAAAACAGAACCAUCAGAGUUAAGUUUCAGCAAACCAAUCUGUACAGGUUUGCAAGUGAUCGGCGAUCAGAUGAGGGAGUGGGGUUUUCCUAAAAAUGAUCAGGAUUAAGAGAGAUAUGAGACUUGUAGCAAGAGUUCACAACGUUGGUGAGCUCUUUACUUCAAUUUCUACUUUCAUUCCGGAAAAAAAAAAAAAAACAAACAAACGUUUUGGUUUCUUCUCUUUUACCAAAUGACUAAUGAGUGACGUGGGAGGAAAGGCGCGUGAUGCUGUGAGACUUGAGAGGAUAACGACAGCUGAACAGCUCAGCUUGGCAGUUUCAACAGCUUGAAAAUAAAAGAAAAUGGGUGCUGCUAAAUGUACCCAUCAAAUUACUAAGGAGACCCAGCAAAACAAAUUUUACUGAAAAGAUAAUUGUAUCCUCAUCUGAAAUGACAUUUGUAGUCAUUAUUAUUAAGAUAAUAACAAAGGAAACCUAAAAUUUUAAAAUUCUUUUCGUUAGUAAUUUCUAAAUAUACCCAGCAGUUUAAGUUUAACGUAAACACAUUGUUGGUUCCAACAAAACCUGAAAUGACGUUUCCAAUUUUACUAUAUUGUUGUGCUUCAAGGGUUUAAUAUCUUGAUAUUGAUGAAGUUGGGAGUGCAAUUAUGGUUUCAGAUGCUUCUAAUAAGGUAUGCUCAUUUUUAAUAUGAUUGAAAAUAAAUUAACCCACAUUUGUAUGUAUUCGUUAUGUAUUCAUUCUGUAGUUUGUCCGACCGUUCAGGCAACGAAACAAUGCCUCGUAUUCGGUAACAAAGAGGCUCAUCGGUUAGCGGCGGUAGAAUUUGGGGUCCAGUGGCAAAGCAUGAGGCGAGAGGAAUUGUUUCUGGCGUUGGGGGUUUCGUUUGCUGGGUGUGAAUUUCUUCGUGAGUUUUGCUGGGUUUAACAAAGAAAAGGUAUUAUUGGAAAGUUGCUGGGUCUACUUAGAAAUUUUAUAGUUUUACCAGGUGUAUAAAGUUUGCUAGGUCUACUUAUUAUUUUGCUGGGUAUAUCUAACGGCACCCGAGAAAAUUUGGGACCAACUUCUAGUCAAUACCGUCAAAAUUAAUUAGGCAAAUCUCUGUUCCGCACUAGGUAGCAGCAGAGACCAGAUCAAGAGGGCAUCUCAUUGACUAAUCAUCAUAUGUAGUUAUGUACAACAACAAAUGCAAAACCCAUCCAUUACUCCAAUGACAUUUUUUACCAUAACGCAACCAGACAAAUUUAAUACCCUAACCAUAAUAAUAAUAAGACUAUAUAAAGUCAUAUUUACAAUAACCCACAAAGCUGGAAUUACAGAAGUUUGGUUUCCCAAGCACAACCGGGUAUGUUUCUCUUUUAAAGAAUUCAUGAAGAAAUUCUCCACCUUUUGUUUGUCUAUGUUUCAUCAUCUUAGUUUUCUAUCUCUAUCUUGGACCAGAGAGUUCCAUGGCAUAGGAAUCCAAAGAAUGCUCAUCAUCAUCCUCAUCCAUAGAUGUGCCAAACAUGCGUUCACUCCCAUCAUGUUUUGAUGCAUUCCAAGUACUGUGGGGAGUGCUUUUGUUACUGUUGUGAGUCUGGAAGAGGUCCAUCCUGGAUUUACUAUGAUUAUGUGACGAUGCCCACUUCUCCGCUAGUCCAUCACCUUCCAGCAUCCGGACCACUUCCGACAUCUUGGGGCGGUGAGCUGGUAGGUAUUGAGUGCAUAGCAGAGCCACUUGUAGCAUUUCACCAACCUCUAUCCGAUCGUAAUUGUUCCCCAGUUCUCUAUCCACCAAGAGUUCUACUUUCUUUUCUUGUUGUACUUUCUUCACCUGUAAUCAGCAGGGUGUUACCUUAAUCAUGCAACCAUUAUGCUUCCACCCUAUAAUUUGAUACUCGAGAUAAAACUAUAAUGACAACUAAAUUUCUAACUUAUGGGACACAAAAACAAAAGUGAAGAAGCUAAUUUAAGUCUUGCUAAAUGUGCGGUCCUGCAACCAUGGCCGAGUACAAAUUUUUAUCAAAAUAGAUAUAGAUUUUAGUUUAUAUACUUGGUAACCAAAGGAUGCUAGAUUAUAAAUACAAUCAUUAAAUUUGCUCAGGCCAAAAGGAUUAGAAACAUGCUAUAGUCUUCAACAAAAAUAAAUGAAAUACUAGUAGAAUAGAAACAUAUCUAUAGCUUAUAGUCAUAGAAAUACUUACCCACUCAAGCAUGGCUCCUUUCUGAUUAACUGUUUUGCCAAACUCCAGAGCUCUCAUCCCAGUUAUGAGCUCAAUCAAGAGAAUGCCAAAUCCAAAAACAUCAGUUUUUUCUAGAUGAUUGACCAGUAGAAAGGUACUCUGGUGCAAUGUGCCCAACAGUCCCACGUACAGCAGUGGUCACAUGAGAGUCAGCAUGGUCGAGGAGCUUUGCAAGGCCAAAAUCACCAACAAUUGCCUCACAGUAGUCAUCCAGGAGCACAUUUGCAGCCUUCACGUCCCUGUGUAUGAUCUUUGGAUCGCAUUGCUCAUGUAGAUACAAAAGACCUCUUGCAGCUCCAAUUGCUAUUCUCUUCCUUGUGUUCCAAUCUAGAGCUGGCUUUCCUGUUGUGACCACAACAGUUUGUUAGGCCUUCAAUUUUUGUAGUUCAACUUAUAAAAGGAAAUAAACCAAGAAAGUUAUGUAAUAAAAUAGAUCACAGGCUUUCCAUCUUUGUUCAAAACAAGUUAUUUCUGAUACCAAUUGAUUGAUUUUUUUAAAAAUAUUUAUUUGAAUUCCAAAUUUUAAAUACAAUACUCUAUUAAGAACUGCUCUAGGCCUUCAAUUUUUAUAGUUCAACUUAUAAGAGGAAAUAAACCAAGAAAGUUCUGUAAUAAAAUAGAUCACAGGCUUUCCAUCUUUGUUCAAAACAAGUUAUUUCUGAUACCAAUUGAUUGAUUUUUUUUAAAAAGAUUUAUUUGAAUUCCAAAUUUUAAAUACAAUACUCUAUUAAGAACUGCUCUAAUCACCACUGGUCCCAACCAUAAAGACGCAAAGUUCUUAUUAAAUAUCUCCAAACUCCCCAAACUGAUUGUGGUCCAAGCCAAGAUCACAUCUGGGUAACUACUAUAUUUUAAUAGUUAGUAUAUCACUUCAAUAUCAGUCAACAGGGAACACUGAAUUGCCACCCCUAUUGAAAGAUGCAAUGUGAAUGUAUUUGCAGUAAAUAGACAAACCUCUAAGCCUGAAGGCAACACUGCCAUUGGACAUGUAAGGGUACACCAGAAGCCUCUCAUUAGAAGUAGCACAAUAUCCGAUUAAGCGAAGCAAAUUCCUGUGUACUGCUAGGCUUAUCAUUUCCAAUUCUGUCCUGAAUUGCGACUCUCCAGCUGUUCCUGUAACAUCCUUGAGUCGUUUUACUGCCACCAUAGUCCCAUCUCCCAGCUUUCCCUUGUACACAUUCCCAAAACCUCCAGCACCUAGUAUGUUCUUGGAGCUAAAAUGGUCUGUGGCGACUUGAAGCUCUUUGAAAGUGAAGUUUCUGAGGUUGCCUAAGCUCACAAGUCCCUCUUCUUGAAUGUCUACAGUAAAGAUAAUGACACAUCAAAUAUCGACUAUAUUUUGUCAUUUAGCGUUGAUUUAUGAAAUAGGGUCAUGAUGAUACUGACCACUGAUGUUCAAAAUGGUUUGGCUCUUUUGCUUCUCUCUGUACCAGAUGAUUCCAAGUGAUAGGAGCAUGAGAAAGGCACAGCUGAAGCUCACCCCAAGUGCAAUUGCUACUGUUUUGGACUUGUGUUUUCCUUAGAAGAAUAAAAACCAUAGAAAUUAGACAAAAUGAGAUACACAUAUUGAGCCAAAGCUGAAAACACAAGUGUAAAGGGUUUACCAGGUGAUGGGUUUAGUGAUAAUGAAAGAGGAACAGGGGCUGAUCCAGAGCAUCCUUCUGUGGAGCUGCUUCCACAAAUCAGUGGGUUCCCGACAACACUGAUAAAACAACAAAACAGAGGAAACCAUAAAGAACAAUACAACAAUGACAACACAGAGAAAGAAAGAGCAAGAAAGAGAGAGAGCAUACUUGAAAGUUCUGGCUGGGAAUUUGGGUAUUGGUCCACUAAGAUUGUUGUAAGACAAGUCCCUGUAUGACCCCCAUUUACAAUAAAACCAUUGAUCAGAUUUUGAGUAAAAUGUUUACAACCCAGAAGAUCCUCAACAUGUCGCAACUUGUUUCACUUUUCAAAAGCCCGAGACGCCAAAAAACAAAUUCAAGCAAAAGAAAUUGUGAAAACCCAUAAUACUCACAAGAAAGCAAGAGCAGGAAUUUUGGCUAAAGACACAGGGAAAGCUCCAGACAAGCUAUUGUUGUUCAGCCUCCUGUUCUCAUUACAUGACAAGCAACACAGUAAUUAAAUAACUUCAACCCAAAAAAAAAAAAUCAAAAUUAAUCAAAUCUAGUCAAACUUAAAUUUUGGUAAUUAUCGUAUAGGAGGACACAAUCAAAUUCAAUUGUGUUUCCCCCCUUCUUUCAGAGUCCAGUAAGAAAAUUACAAGGACAAGAGGUUUAAAGACUUACAGAUACUGCAGACUAUUCAACUGACCCAGAGACUCUGGGACAACACCCAAGAAUCGAUUAUUGGAGAGAUCAAGAGUUUGAAGCUUGGGAAGAGUACCCAGCUCCGCUGGGAGUUUACCAGAUAUAUUGUUGUUCUGCAGCAACCUUUAAAUUCAAAAUUGAAGAGUUAGACAUACAAGUCCAGAAACAAAAAUGGUUCUAACGAUUUACACUAGAGCAAAAUAAAACGAGAAUUGAAGCAAGAACACAGAUGGGUAUGUAGAAUUUUUUUUCUUACACUUGGCGAAGAUUUGUGAGAUUUCCUAUAGCUGCAGUUAAAGUUCCAGACAGUGACUGGCUUGGAGCUCCUCUGCAAAAUUGAGAGAGGCUUAUGAAUUGAGGUUCACUUUAGCUAAUUUGAAAUAAGGCAAAAACUGACGCAUGAGUAAGAAGGAAGAAACUACUACUCACAGGCCUACAACAACAUUCUCAGAUGAGCAAGUGAUCAUAGCCCAGCUACAUGGGUCUACAGAGUCUCCAUCCCAAUUGUUUAAAACGCCAUGAGGAUCAUUCAAACUGCCCUUUAAGCUUAUCAAAGCCACCACUGCGCAAUAACCCAAAACAGCAAAAUCAAAAAUCUCUGUGUAACCCAAAAAAGGCCAUGAAAACUAGUUACCAAAAAGAAAAAGGCUAUGAAAACCUAUGCGGGUUUACCUUCAUGGUUGCGAGGUUCGUAGGAGAGACAGAGUGAAGCAGUGGAGAGAAAGAAGAAGAAGAAAAAAGCUAAGUGUUUGAUCAUCAUCAUGUUAUGGAAUAAUGGUUUGGGAUGAAGGAAGAGAGAAUUCAGAUAAAACCCAUCACAGAAGAAUAUGUAAAAGCUAAGAACAACUAAAAGCAAGUGUUGUUCAAUCUCUCUCUCCCUCUCUCUGAAAAUGAGGUAAUGGGCAAAUGGGCCUCUGUCUCUUUCUUUCUCUCUUUUUUCUUGGUAUUCUUUCUGAUUUCAGAGGGUCUCUUUUUCCAGGGUUCUCCCACCACCCAGGCACCCACCACCUCUCUUUCUCUCCCACUUUACAAAUAUUCAGGGAAACAAUAAAGCAAACACAGCAAGUGUGUGUUUGGUUCAAUAUUUUUAUUUUUAUCUAGGAGAAAAAUAGAAAAGAAAAUUACGUCUAGUUUGUCAGGGGGUAAGUUUGUACGAGAGUAGUGGGCAAGGCUGGAGUGGACUGGACUGGACUACUGACUAGGAGUGAAGAGGCUCUGGGACGACCGGUGCUUGCUGCUAAACCUAGUGCUCUAUCUGUAAUAUUUUGCCAGUUGAGGACAAAAGGCACGGAGAGAGUGAAGGGGCCGGAGAGAAUCAAAACACUAAAAAUGGAGGGUGGAUGGGAUUGGUUGCGUCAGAGGCUUGAGCCUGUUGCUGACCUUUGUUUUGUUUCUUUUUUUUUUUCUAGGAAGCUAGGCUGCAGCUCAACCUCUAUGAUGGCCUACUAUUGCUGCCCCUUGGGAUUAGUUUUUCCCAAACUUACUCUUGUAUUUACUAUUUUUACCCCCAAGUGUGUAAUUUGGCCUACUACGUGAUUUUUGGUUUUGUGCAUAUAUUGGUUUGUCUUGUUAAUUUGACAUUACGAAUUGCAGAUAGCGACCUCACUCCAUUGAUAAAUUGAAAGUAAGAGUAUGGCAUAAAACACGAUAUACCAUCCUCAUCGGCACGAAAUGAUUGAACCAUACCAAAAAAAAACUCUGAAAAACUUAGAUCUAAAACCUAAACACCCUAAGCAAUUUUAAUGUCAUAAACUAUCAGCGAGGUCGACACAAACAAAAACCAGACAUGUUAGGUAGACCUAACUUAUUCUUCACCUUUGAAGAAGAGCUUAAGCAGAACUAGACCCAAGACCGGAUCCUCUGCCUCACUUUCUUUUCCCAGCAGAACAACCUCCUCAACAAGACCAUCAGCAGCCUCACCAAGCACCAAAGCCUUCCUUACCCCAAAAGUCCUCUUCUUAGCUCUCUUAGGGCCUAACUGUCCCGACUAAGAAACCCGCUUUGGUAACCUAUCUCUCCUUCUUGUUCAUGGAACCUCGAGGGUAUCCCACUUUCCUCUUCUUUGUCGUAAGUGGAAAGGCACUACUAGAAAAAAAGACAUAUGCGAUGAAGAAAAUUUUAUUUGUCGCUUAGGUUAUAACUUAUGCUACAAAAAAUUGUUCGUCUCUUAAGUAUUUACCUAAGAGACGAAAUAAUAAAUCGUCGCAUAAGUUAUAACCUAAGCGACGAAUAUUUUACUUAAGAGACGAAAAAUGCUUCGCCUCUUAUGUUCUUUCUUAGGCGACGAAAUUAAUUUUUUCGUCGCAAAAGUGGUUAUCCUAAGAGACGAAAAAUUCUUUUGCCGCAUAAGUCGUAUCUUAUGAGACGAAAAUUAAUACUAAUGAGACGAAAAUUUCGUCUCAUAAGUGUUUUUGACUUUAUAUCUGCUUGCUCGCUGCCCAGAUCUAAAAUAGAGAGAAACGUUCUGCAGCUGAAAUCUGGCGACAGAUUUUCAAUGUUAGCAUUGGAAAUCAUCAAUUUGGGACGUCUAAAGCUUUGUCUACCUCUCUACGUACUCAUGAAGUAUUACUAGUACUUAUAGGUUGGUAUAAUCUCAUUCUCUUUUCUUUCACCAUUUAUGUUUCACUGGUUUAUAGCUUUGAUGAUGACCUCUGUUUGUUGAUGAUAUAUGAAUUUUGGGUUACCUAUUACAUUUGAAGUUAUUUCUCCUCCUUGUUUAGGAUAUGUUUCCUCCUAUUGAAAAAAAAAAAAAAUAAGAAGACCGGCCAUGUUUUCUAGUGGUACCACCAGUCAUUUGUUGGUAAUAUAUAUCUAUUGAUGUUAUAUAUAUAUAUAUGAUUAUUUUGGUUAUAUUUGUUACAGACUAGCCAUGUUUUCCAGUGGUACCGCCAGUCAUUUGUUGGCAAUAUCUAUUGAUGUUAUAUAUAUAUAUAUAUAUGGUUAUAUUUGUUAUAUAUAUAUGGUUAUAUUGGUUGGUUAUAUAUAUAUAUAUAUAUGUGUGCUUUUUUAGCAUGAUGAAUGUAAGAAUGGUUAAAUUCUUUCAUUCACGUUUAACCUUAGAAAUCCCGUUCGAGAAUGAUUUUGGUUUGGCAACAGACUACUAUAGAAAGCACCAAGUUCACCAAAACAGACCAGAUCAUGCACCCUAUAGGUAUUUGCUGAUGAUGAACUUUGCCCACUCAUUCUUUAACACAUCCAAAUCAUCUUGGGUGUAGACAAGUUUGUUUCUCCUGUCCUACUGAAAAACAUAAUGUUAAAGUUAGACAUGAACAUGACAUUAUCCCGAAUAUCUGAUUCCCAACACAAACACAAAUAAUAGUUGAUUAUACCUUUGUUUUUCCAGGAAUAUUCAAGCGAGUUUUCACCCCAUCCUUUGUUUUUCCAGGAAUAUUCAACAAAGUUCCUAUAAGGCUGUCAAAAACAUUUUUCUUGAUAUGCAUGACAUCAAGGCAAUGCUGAAUAGGGAGAAACUUCCAAUAUUCCAGAUAGUUUGUUUCUUGAUGAUAAAUUGAUAGUUUGAGUCUUACUUGCCGCUUCCUGAUAGUUUGCUUCUUGAACAAAAUAAAGGUCUCACUUGUAUACACAAGGUAUACAGAAUCAGAUUAUUUGCACAAAAGUAAGAGAUAAGGACAUAAGCUGAUGGACUUUCCUGAGAGCUCUCCAUUCGGAAUCUGCCAGCACCAUAUCCACAACAUUCUAGACCAAAUGAAAGACCAUCAGUGACUAUCUAAUAUAAAGUAAACACAGCUUUUGCAAUCAAGAUUUCAUCUUCCGAAGAGAAAUGCUUACUCUAAAUAUGCUAGAAGACUGCAGAUACCCAAGAGUAGAGCAGAGCUCACAGUAGAAGCAGUUGGAGGAAACCUAUUUACAGAUAAUCAGUAAACCAAACCUUCAAUCAAUUGGGGAAAUGCAUGAUUUUACGAGAUCAUUUUUACUUGACCAGAUAACACAAAAAAGUUCAUAUAGGUUUGUGAGUGAAAGAAGAGUGAAAAGAACCUCUCGAAGUCAUUGAAAAUGACGGUGUCAGGAACGAUCUCACUAAAGAACAAUCUAAUACAGUUUGACAGAUUGUAGUACAAAAACAAGAAAUAAGUCUGUUUUCCUUAAGUGGACUGAAAGUGGUAGAACCAAAUGUUAAAACAUAACUAUAUCCACAUAGAAUACAAAGGAAAGAAUAAAGACAAGCAUUUAAGAACUAGAACACAACUGCAUCCUAAUAACAAAGAAGGCCUGAAGAGAGUAAUCUUUAANNNNNNNNNNNNNNNNNNNNCUAAAAUUAUAACAUAAAGGGACAUGAUAUCUAAUUGAUCAAGCUACAGUUUUCUUUAUAUAUAUUAAUAUUUGUUUACAAAAAAUCUUAACUAAAAUGAUCGGCGGCACAUACCUUGCAGAUGUUGCUAAAAGAUUAGGCUAUCUAGGGGUUAAACUGUUCUGGUGCAGACAUAUGCAUCAGAUAGUACAUUUUUGUUGUCAUUUUGUGGAAGAAAAUGACUUCUUUUUUUUUUUUUUUCCUAGAUAAAUACGUGGACCAGACUAAUACCUGUUAUGGUUCCAUAUAUCUACACCAGCUUCACCAGUGGCAAAACAAUCAAAAUUUCAUUGGUGAUCAAUAGACCUGAAAAGAAUUACACAGACCUCAAUAAUAGAAACAUUUGUAAAUUAUAACAUUAGUUUUACUUGCGAAAUUAACUAAUUAAGAAACAUAUCAUCUGAAAAUUUGAGUUUGUAAACUUACCUAAAUGCAUUUUUCCACACUUAAGUUUCCAGAGGCUGGAAUGAACAUAGUAGUUAGAGAGGUAAAAUUUAAAUGAACAAAAUAACAUAUUAAGUCAUAGGAGAUAUAAAAGUAGUAGGAAGACAAUACCUUAAUAGAGUUAUCAGUAGGGAUAUCUAGCUCCAUAGCAGUGGAAACAGGUACGGCCCAGAGCCUGACACUGUAAAUAAAAAGCACUAGUUAAAUAAGGUCAUCCAAACUGCCUUAUGGGUGGACAUUCUUCAUACAUGCCUAGAAAAUUUAAGCAUAGAGGGAAAACAUGAAUGGAUCCAGACAGUUAUGCUUACCUGCAAUCAGUUCCACAUGAAACAAGUACACGUCCAUCUGUAGAUACUGCUAAACCUCGCACAACACCUUGGUGGUCAGGAAACCGUUGUACUGUGUGCCUAUUUUGUUCAUAAAAUGAUAAAGAAAUAUAAAUUUCAACAAUGUAGGACCAAAAUGACAAUGCAGAACAAUGCAGAUCAAAACUAUAUGUAAAAUUCAACAAGCUUAUGGGUUUAGGGGUUUCUGAUCCAAACCACUGUCAGUUAGUGAACCACUGACAAACUGAACAAAUAUAUAGAGAACCACUCUUUAACACCAUUUUUGUCAUUGCCAUAGAAACUUUAUCUCCACUCCAUUUUAUGUGGGUACAAACCAAAGUCCUUGCCGUGCCUAAUGUCUAAAUACGGUUAUCAUAUUCAAUUACAGGUAAAUAAGCAAUUAUAUUAUACUAUACGUAUAAAAUGACAAUUUCAUAACAUUCCAAGAGACACAAAAAGGGAAAAGAAACAUUUUCGAGUGUAGGAUUACCUGGAAGCUAUAUCCCAAAGCCGAAUAUAUGUCUGCAAAAGGUAAGAAUAUCAAAUAGUUAGUUUGAGAAAUCAAACACACAUUAGAUUUUGCAACACAAAAACGGAAGCGAGGUGCGGAUAAGAGACAAAGCAAAGUGCAGUACCUCCAUCCAUAGAACCGGAGAAUAUCCCAACCAAAUGGUUCAUGUUUUUGGCCAUGCACGAAAUAUCCAAGACAUCUGCCUGAAAAAUCAAAUUGACUUAGCAACCCAAAUACAAUAUCAAACAAGUAGAAAAGAGCAGAGGAGUGAAGAGUGACCAGUGUCGAGAGCGGAAGCGCGAAAGAGAGGAAGUGAUGGGCGGGAGGUGAAGAGCAGAUUGGAUCCAUUAAACAAGCUCAGCUUUCUUCCCUGGAAAUGCAAAGAGGAGGAGAUUGCUGAGGAAGGUGGAGAUUGCAACGACACUGACAUUUUUUCCUCUCUGGUCUCGACAACAAAUCGACACUCGUUCGAGUUGCAAGUUAUUGAUGCGGUGUGUCUUUUAUAUGUAACUCACUGAUCACUCUUGGGCCUAGCCGGCGACGCCGACUUGGUCUCGGCUGCUGCGGCGGUGGAGCGGUGGGAGAAAUUCGGUUAGAAAUUGGAUUUGGGGAUUUAGGGUUUGGAUUUCAAUAUGAAAAAUCUAUGUUUGUAUGUGGAAUUGGUGGGUAGGAGGAGGUAUAGGAGAGAGAGAGAGAGAGAGAGAGAGAGAGAGAGAGAGAGAGAGAGAGAGAGANANNNNNNNNNNNNNNNNNNNNNNNNNNNNNNNNNNNNNNNNNNNNNNNNNNNNNNNNNNNNNNNNNNNNNNNNNNNNNNNNNNNNNNNNNNNNNNNNNNNNNNNNNNNNNNNNNNNNNNNNNNNNNNNNNNNNNNNNNNNNNNNNNNNNNNNNNNNNNNNNNNNNNNNNNNNNNNNNNNNNNNNNNNNNNNNNNNNNNNNNNNNNNNNNNNNNNNNNNNNNNNNNNNNNNNNNNNNNNNNNNNNNNNNNNNNNNNNNNNNNNNNNNNNNNNNNNNNNNNNNNNNNNNNNNNNNNNNNNNNNNNNNNNNNNNNNNNNNNNNNNNNNNNNNNNNNNNNNNNNNNNNNNNNNNNNNNNNNNNNNNNNNNNNNNNNNNNNNNNNNNNNNNNNNNNNNNNNNNNNNNNNNNNNNNNNNNNNNNNNNNNNNNNNNNNNNNNNNNNNNNNNNNNNNNNNNNNNNNNNNNNNNNNNNNNNNNNNNNNNNNNNNNNNNNNNNNNNNNNNNNNNNNNNNNNNNNNNNNNNNNNNNNNNNNNNNNNNNNNNNNNNNNNNNNNNNNNNNNNNNNNNNNNNNNNNNNNNNNNNNNNNNNNNNNNNNNNNNNNNNNNNNNNNNNNNNNNNNNNNNNNNNNNNNNNNNNNNNNNNNNNNNNNNNNNNNNNNNNNNNNNNNNNNNNNNNNNNNNNNNNNNNNNNNNNNNNNNNNNNNNNNNNNNNNNNNNNNNNNNNNNNNNNNNNNNNNNNNNNNNNNNNNNNNNNNNNNNNNNNNNNNNNNNNNNNNNNNNNNNNNNNNNNNNNNNNNNNNNNNNNNNNNNNNNNNNNNNNNNNNNNNNNNNNNNNNNNNNNNNNNNNNNNNNNNNNNNNNNNNNNNNNNNNNNNNNNNNNNNNNNNNNNNNNNNNNNNNNNNNNNNNNNNNNNNUGUGAGGGAAUAUAUAUUCGGAGGGAAACUUUAGAGCCAAAACUAUUUUGGCAUAGCACACCAAAUCAAUGGAGGCAAACUUUGGAGCCAAAAUGACUUUGUCAUGCCACUAGAUUUUCCAGUCACACAACAGAAUGUUUUAAACUGUUGUAUAUAUUUUCUAAACUUGCACUAGGUAUUGCCUAGUAUAAAUUGUAACAACAUCAUACAACAAAGAAUAAAAGUCUAUUGUCCAAACAUUUUGCAUCUUGUGCGACUUUCAAUUUGGUGAUGGGGGGAAUCCUUCCGCUAAAAUUUUCAUAAAUCAUACAACAGAAAAUUAGCAUCAUUGUUGUGUUUUGAACUCUUGAAAUAUAACCUGACAAUUUCGUGUCAUCAGACAACAAAACUUUGUAACUUUGCAUUGUAUAUAACAGUUCACCUCAUCAGACAAGUAGGGAACCCUAAAAGGUUGUUUGAUGAGUGUUGUUUGACAACGUUUUUGUAGUAGUGUAUUCUUCUCAUCGGGUGUAGUUCUCUCAAUUACUAUGGACACCCAAGAUUAUAUUGUCUUCUAAAUUAUUUCAUAUAUCCAAUUCAGAGACUAUUCUUCAAAUCCAAUAAGACCUUUAAGGAUUGACACUGAUCUUUUAUCAUGUAAAAAUUCAACAUACAUCAAUCAAUCAUGAAUAGCCAUUUUGUAAUUCAUUCAACUAUUAUAUAGCUCAAAACAAACAAUUACUACCAAGUUGUUGUCAUACUCCAUGACUAGUAUGUUACCUUUAGUAGACCAAAUCUUAGGUUCUCAAUCACAACUUAAUUCCUCAAAUGACCAUAUCUGAACUAAUACAAGAAGCACCAAGUGCUCAGCGUCAUACUUGCCUAUUCAAGAUUUCAAGUUGACACCAAACACACCCUUGUUCCCAAUAAUCAAUCUAAAACAUGAUAUAGCCUUAUUGUAAUUCUCAUUGUCUUACUGUGUAGUGUUUGACACUGAAGGCAAACCGUUGAGAGUAAUCCACAAUUAUACCAUAUCAAUUACAUCCCUUCAAUUCAAACAGAUCUUGUUUCUCUUAUCAUUAUCUCCAAAAUGGAAUAUCAAUUACACCAAAAACUAGUUGCUCCGGCCUUAUAAUUAUAAUGCAUCGUAUUACCACUUGAUCAUAUACCAAUUGAUCAAUGCAUGCUUACAGUAGCCUAAUAAUAUUUAACCAGAGUACACUCAUGACACAUACUCAAACCCAAACAAUAAUUAUCUGAAGUGAUCUGCCUCUUACCUUGUGUGUUCCUUAUUUGAAACAUCUUCUUGCUGCGUAGUUGGACCUAAGCAAUCCACAUUCUUUACUUUGUUUUCAUCAAACAGAUAUACGAAUCAUCACUAACCAAACUUUGGAGUACUGAACUCAUCAAUUUUGGUGAAAGAAUCUUACCUUUUUAAGUUAUCAAAUCACCGAUUGGGGAUUAGUCUUCCAUCCUUGCAUUGUAAUUAUACUGGGCAUCUUCUCUUCCCUAAUUUCACUUCCUUCACUGCUUUCAUAAUUCAAUAUAUCUCCAAGCUCUUUUUUAUCCUUCCCUUGGAACCCAAAUACAACUCCGGUUUCCAUAGUCCCUGAUAACCAAGUUAUGAAACAAUAAUCAGGACUCACUUCAUAUCAAAACCGAAAUCCUAAAUCAAUGGGUUCUUGGCACUUUACCUCAAUGAAGAAGUGACUUUGUUACAUGUCAGGAACUACAACUCGAAUUGAUGCACAUAGUGAAUAGCUAGCCAAACAACCACUCCAUAUCCAUCGUAGCCUUGAGCUAAAGAUUAACAUCAACCCCGAACUAAUUAGCAGCCUUGUCCUCUUGACGAUGAUCACAGAGACGCCACCAUCAGAGAGUCGAAGAGAUAAUGAGAGAAAGAGGGAGAAUUCCAGAGAAGGAAGAGACCCACAACAGAAGCUUCUCGUUCAGCUCGAGAUAAAACUCUUAUCUUUAUCUUCUAACUUAGGAAGUUACAGUUGCCCUCAAGUUAACACCUCUAUCAGAUUUCUGACCCAUAAUGAAUUGGGUUGUUCCACACCCUUUUUCUAGGGCUGGGCACUUAGUAUCGGAAUCUCGAUCCCGUACCGGUCCUGUCCCAAAAGUUAGCGGGACGGGACGGGACGGGACGGGACAGGUUUUGAAAAUGGCAAUCCCGUCCCGUCCCGUCCCGUCCUGUUAUAGUAAUGUUGAAACGGGACGGGACGGGAUUGGGACUAUCUCGAAAAAUCCCGGCCCGUCCCGUAAUAUUAGAAUACCUGAUUUUAAUAAUUUUAUAUUUGAUUUUUUAGGUUGCAUGAUAUUACAAUGCACUCAACCACACUGAAUUCGGUCUAAAACCUAAACACACUUCAAUAGUUCGAUGAGUUCGGUCUCACUCUCUCAAACACAACACCACCACUCUCUCUAGGCUCCAGCCUCUCAACCAAAUUCAAUCCCCAAAUGCUAAACCAAAAACCUAAAACCUAGUUUGUCUCUCCCAAAUUCGAUCCCAAAUUUGAUCCUUAAUUCGAUUCCCAGCUUGUUAAUGGCUAGAGGGAAGAAAACACCGAUUCGUCCCCGACGAAGUACUUCUGUUCUGCAAGCUUCUUCUGAAGCAAUUUCUUCUCAACCGGAUCGUCCUUCAUCAGCAGCAAGUGGAUCAACUCGACCUGCACUUCUCCUACCAGCUGGAAGUCAACCCACUCCUGCAAAUCAACCUGAUUCGACCUGACCUGCUGCCAGCCAACCUGAUGCGACCCAACCUGCUGCAAGCCAACCUGAUGCGACCUAACCUGCUGCAAACCAACCUCUAAGUGAAGCAGUUGCAUCUACAGGGGAGAUUGAUUCUGAAACAUCAAGUAUAAUUCUAAUCUCUGUAUAAUUCUAAGCUUUGUAGAAUUGUAUAUACUAAUCUUUGUUGACAGUGAUGUAUAUAUUAAUGAUCAUGUUGAUAUUUACCAAAAAGACUGUUGAUAUUUGCAUAAUGAUCUUAUGUUAUUCUUGAGUCAACAUUUGAUAUUUACCAGAAAAACUGUUGAAAUUUGUAAUUGGUAGCAAUUGUUACGGGUGUAGAUGCUUUGUUUAUGAAGAGCUGAGUAUAUUGAUAGGAUGCAAAUGAUAGUGAUGAGUCUGAGGUGGAGGAAAUUGAGUUGGACGAUUCUGAGUGAUCAAGUUAUGUAGUUUCAGUGUAGUUAGUUGCUAAGAAUUCUGGGAGUGGCAGUUAAACCUGAUAUGGGGAAAUUUCAGCUCAUUUCCUCUGUAUCCUAAGAAGACUUGAUUCUCAGUCAUCCAAGUCAUGAGGGACAAAAAAAAAAGUAGUAACUAUUAUUGGAGGUCGGGUGCAAAAAAAAAAAAGAGUUAUGAGGGCAAACAUCUAGUUAUUCUGGGUAUUGCUGAGAUAUAUUUUAGCUUUGUCAUCCACAAGUAGUAACUAUUACUAGAGGUCGGGUGCAACUACUACUCUAGUAGUACCCUGAUUUCAACAUGUAAAUUGAUUCCUGGAUGAACUAAAAAGAUAUGAAACCAGUACACAUUUCAAGUUGGCUGUUUUGUUCUACAACUUGAACCAAGAUUAAACAUCUUAUUGUCAACUAUCAAUCUUGAUUUGUGUUAAAUAUUUGCUAUUUUCACAUGGUUGUUUGCUUUGAUGCUUUGGGUGGGUUUGUUUGACUAAGAAAGUGGUUGUGAUUUGGAUGGGCUUUCUUGUUGCCUUGAUUGUAGGUGAAGCAGUUGUUUAAUAGCAAUAUCUAUUAGUAAUAGCAGUUGUCUAAUUUCAGUAUUUAAUUACAGGCAAGACAUGAGUAGCCACCUACAAUCCUAAGAGAUCUUGCAUCUAGUCAACUUAUCACUUUUCUAGUGUAAUAUUGUCAAAAAGGUAAAAGAAAUGAAAAAGGAUUUGGCUUGCUUAGGGAAAGGGUUAACAUCCUUUGGAAUUGAUAUGGGCUUGCUUGAGGAGUUUCCUAACAUUCACUUUUGAGGAAUUGAGUAGUUAUAUAAUACAUCGUGAUUCAUAAAAUGCUUUGCUUUCACAUUUUGUGUCUAGAAAACCUGAGGGCAGUGAACUAUUUCAUAUCAUAUUGAUGUAUAUUUGUUUUGAUAUAUAUAUAUAUAUAUUGGUGUUUAUAUUUGUUGGACUUUCAUGUGUUAUUCUUGAGUCCACAUUAGAUAUAAGUUACAACUCUAACACAGGGGAGAUUGAUUCUUAAACAUCAGGUGUAAAACGAAGCUUUGUUUGGGACCAUUUUAUAGAGUAUGAAAAGAUUGAAAUUGCGAAAGAUGUCGAUGGAAAAGAUUAUCAAAUAGUUCAUAAGAGGGCUUAUUGCAAAUAUUGUCCUAGGGGAAAGAUUGGGGAUUAUGCUUGUGAAAGUCAAAAUGGCACGUCUGGUAUGAUUAGGCACAUCAAUCAGAAUUGUAGAUAUUUUCCAUCAACUGUCGAUAAGUCACAGAAAAACUUACAAGGUGAUAAGACUAGGGCUAAUUCACUGAGCUUGGUAGCUGUUGACCAAGAUGAUUAUUUAGAAGCUUGUGUAGAGAUGGUUGUAAUUGAUGAGCUGCCAUUUAGUUUCGUGGAGAAGAAAGGUUUUAAGGGAUUUUGUGGUAGAGUCUGUCCUCUAUUUGAUAUUCCCUCUAGAAAAAAAUUAUGUAGAGCCUUUCUAGAUAUGCAUGGCACCCAGAAAAAGGAGUUGAAAAACACUUUGAAGAAGUUGAGGGUGAAUUUAACCAUAGACACUUGGACAAGUGUGCAAAAUAUCAACUACAUGGUGCUUACUGCCCAUUUCAUUGAUAUUAAUUGGAAGAUGCACAAGAGGGUAAUAAAUUUUGCUGUGAUUCAGAAUCAUCAAGGAGCAACAAUAGGAAGGCUUAUUGAGUCAUGUUUAGCAGAUUGGGGAAUUGAGAAAGUGAUGUGUAUUAUCGUCGAUAAUGCAUCUGCAAACAAGUCUGCAAUGGAAUGGCUUGUUGCUAAAAUGAAUAGGUCUGCAGGUUACCAGUUGAUUUUGGGUGGCAAGUACAUGCAUAUGAGAUGCACAGCUCACAUCACUAACUUAAUUGUGGGGCAUGGUCUAAAGAGGUUGCAGAAGUCUGUGUCAGCUAUUAGGAAUGCAGUCAAGUUUGUGAGAUCUUCUCCAAACAGAUUGGAAUACUUCAAGAAGACUGUGGAGAGAGAAAAGAUUCCAUGUAAGGGACUUGUGUGUUUGGAUGUCCAAACAAGGUGGAAUAACAUUUAUCUGAUGUUGGAAGCAGCUUUGAGGUUCCAACAAGUAUUUAUGGCAAUGAAAGAUGACUAUGGUGGUAUUUAUGUAAACUACUUUGAUGAACCAGAAGAAGAAAUCGAUGAAGAUGGGAAUAUUGUUGUGCCACCGCCAAGCAACACAAACAAGAGAAACAGGGUUGGACCUCCUGAAGAUGAUGAUUUUGAAAUUGCUAAGGUGUUUGUGGAUAUUUUAGGCGUGUUCUACGAAAUCACAUUGAGGGUUAGUGCAUCUACGCACCCUACUGUGCACACCACUUUCCAAGAUGUUAUUACCAUGAAAAAGAAUAUAAAGAGCAUGUGUGUAUCAGCUGAGUUGGCUACUGGAGCAGAAACACGAAAAAUCUUGAAUGAAAUGGCUGCCAAUAUGAAAAAUAGAUGGUUCAAAUACUAUGGUUCAUUUCAUGAGCUCAAUCACAUAGUGAUCAUUGGCCUGGUAUUAGAUGCAAGGUUCAAGUUAAAGAAUGUGACUUACACCUUUAACCAAGAAGGUUUAGGUGAAGAGGAGGUGGAGAGAAGAACCAGGGAGAUCAAAAACCUUCUAUAUGCUCUCUAUGAUCAGGUAUUAAUUUUAGUUUUUUACUUCAUUUUAAACUUUUAAUCGUUAAGUAGUGCAUUGUUUUCGAUAUGUAUUAAUUUAUGCAUUGUUUUUUAGUAUGUGCUUGUGGUUGAUGGAGGUAGACACCUAUAGAAGGAGCCAUCUCCAAGUUCUUUAAACAACACUGUUAGCAAUAGAAGCACCAAUAGCAGAAGGAGCAAUCUGCUCAGAAACUGGAAGAAUGUGGUUCAAAAAACUGAAGAGGCAGUCGCAAAACAUGAAGUGGAUCAGUAUUUGGAAGCUGCAUUGGAGCUCAUAGAUGAUUUAGAUUGCUUUGACAUCCUGCUAUGGUGGAAGCUUAAUCAAUUCAAGUAUCCAGUUUUGGCAGCAAUAGCUAGGGAUGUUCUUUUAAUUCAAGUGUCCACAAUGGCCUCGGAGUCCGCUUUCUCAACUAGGGGCAGAGUAGUUGACUGUUUAAGGAGUUCAUUAACUCCUAAGACAGUUGAGGGACUUAUUUGCAUGCAAAAUUGGUUGCUUCGUAAUGAUAUUGCAGAGAAUAUAGAUGAUUGCACAAUUGAAAACUAUGAAUUCUACGAAGGUGUUGAGCUAGGUAUAUACAUUUGCAAGUUUUAAUGUUUUCUUUCUUUUACUUUGAUAACUUUGAUCAACUUAACUAAUCUUUUACUUGUGUACAUUUGCAGAGCAUGAGAGCACAGCAACUAGCAAAGCUAAUGUGUGUCCACCUCCACCUUCAAGAGCAAAAGCAAAGGGAAAAGGUAUUGCUGCUGGUCCUAUUGAUGUUUGAUAUAUUAUGGUCUGAGUUUUUCAAGUUCAUUCAAUACUUUUAAUGUGGGAUGUUUAAUUAGUACUUUUACAAUAAGAUGUAAUUUAGCACCUAUGCACCUAUGUUCUUGUUCAUUUCAGUACUUUUAAUUUCAUUCAUGUUUUUUUUUUUGGAUCUUUUUCAGUUAUUGUUUUAGGGUUAAUUUGUCGGGAUCCCGAUCCUGUCCCGAUCCCGUCCCAGUCCCGUUCGAGAUCGGGACGUACGGGACAGAUUUCUAAAAAUGCCUUCUCGUCCCGUCCUGUCCCGUUCUGUUCUUUUAUUUUCGGGACAGGACGGGAUUCAUUAAAUCCUGGCCCAUCCCGUCCCGUGCCCAGCCCUACCUUUUUCGUAGGACUAAUUCGAAAAUAAUAAAUUUCAAAACCAACAAAAUCAAACGUUUGCACACGCACAAUAAUAAUUGUCUACUAAAAUCUCGACACUUAAUAAGAUCACAGUAUACAUAUCAAGCCAUUCUAUUUUACUACUUAAAUAUUUCCGGGGUCUCACAGUUCACUUUGCACCUUGAUGCGUGUAAAAAUUUUAGUUAAAAUUGGAUGAGAACAAAAGUAACGAAUGGACAUAUAGAAAACAAAGAUUGUGGGGGGUUGUAUUUGGAAUAUCACGGGAGGAGUUUUAAUGUAUACCACUCAGCAUACGGUAAGGAAACAACCGAGAGCAUAAUUUCAAAUCCAGAGCCCUCACUAAUUAAGAAGCAACUCUUGCACGGCGAUAAAAAAUGUUUUUUUUUUAUUUUCCCGAGAUAGAGGCACACGAUCAUCAGUAAUCAUUAAAGAAAAAAUCAUAUACAGUAUGUGAAGCAUUUUUUGGAAUACUACAUAGAUUAAAAUUUAACAUAUACGGUACGUUACAUGGCAGCUGAUGUGGUCAAAAAUUUAACUUAUCAGAAUUUCAUAUUAUAUAUGAUUUGCAUUUGCCAUAUCAACUACUACAUAAAAUAAGAUGCAUGUAGUACAUCCCAAAAUGAUUCACUUAUAAUUAGUUACCAACGAAUUAUUUUGAGGAGGAUGCAACCAUGCAUAGAAAAGAAAAUGAAUUAGUGGCCACGGGUAACAUGAAACAAAAAAAGAAUAUAGUGUGCCAAAAUUACUCGAAUGAAAUUGUUACCAAGUAAGUAAUGGCAAAGGCACGUUGAUUGGGACACAUUGCGUCCGGUGCCCCACUCACAUAUAUUACGUUCUAGUAUGCAAAAGACUUUUUUGCCCUCAUAUGUUGCCGUCAAGGAGGGUUAGCAACAUAAAUGCAAAGAGACCUUCUUUUUCCAGACGUCACCUCAUCCAGUUUGUAACAGAGAGAGUGAAGAGCAGAGAAUCUGGGUUACAAGCAGAAGAUAUAUUUCGAAUUGGGGUGUUUAGAGAUCUGGGUAGGAUUUGUAGAUUAUAAAUCUGUUAGUGUUGCUUUCUGGAAGAAGGAGCAGAUAGAAGAGGAAGAAGGAGAUGGGUACCGGAAGCUAUCACGGAAAUCAUCAGUCCCGGUGGCAGUCCAUUAAUGAGGUAAAUUAAUUCGAUCUCUUGGUGAUUGAUUGUGCAGGUGUCACGUCCUAAUUUUCGAAGGAUAAAUUUUCAAAAAUUUAGACAUGAUAGAUUUUAAAAUCUUCUAUCCCAAAACCUGCUCAACAACUAUCAAACUAAAAACAAAUACUGAAAAUGUAAAUGUCAACAAACUCAACAACUGAAGUAAACAUUAUAUCUCUUUAAUUACAUUAAUUUCAAAAGUCUAGUAAUAAUAACGUCGCUCACAAGAGCUUAAAAACAAAUUAACAAAAUAUACAAAAAUUGCACAUUGUCUAAAACCCAGCUCCUAAGCCACCGCCUCAACCCUGCUGAUUAUCACCUGCAGGUCUAACCUCUACACCAAAAAUUGGUGCACCGGGUUGUAAACAACAAACCCGGUAAGCUAAAAAGCCCGUAUGAGUAACUCUCAAAAUAACUCAACCCAACAACACACAAAAUAAAACCGGAAAUUCCUGCUUACAACUUAGUUCAAGAAUUGCCUCAAACAAUAAAAUUCAAAAGAGAGUAAAUAAGAAAACAUAACAAUUCACAAAACAAUCAAUCAUAAGUGAAUGCUGCAAAAAGAUAGUUCAAGAAAUCCACUAAAAAUCACACAAAUAAGAUUAAAGAGUCUCAUGCAUUAAGCAUAGUUCAGGAGAUACUCAAAGCAAGGAAGAUUAAUUGACAACAAUUAAGAACAAGUUAAAAUCACAGAACCAACACUUUACAAAAAUACAUAUACCCAUGAGUCCCAGAUACCAAUAAGAUAUCUCUCAUGACCUACAACAAACACAUGUACCCAUGAGUCCCAGAUAUUAAUAAAUACCUCUCAUGACCUACAACAACAAUUUAUGUACCCAUGGGUCCUAGAUAUCUUCAGGUACCUCCCAUAACCUACACCGACAGACGGACUAGAACUCUACUCCUAACCGUAACCAAUCACCCGGCCAAAGGCUUGAAACCUAGUUUGACUGUCCAAUAUCAAUUCAAAAAUAAUAAUAGCAUCAUAACCGUAACCAAUCAUCCGAUUAAAGACUUGGAACCCGGUUUGAUUAUUUAAACAAACAAAUCACAAUAGAGUAGAAUCAUCAUAACCGUAACCAAUCACCCGAUUAAAGGCUUGGAACCCGGUUUGACUAUCUAAACCAAAAAUCACAAUAUAAUAAAAUCAACAUCAACAACCCAAUAGUACAUCAUAAAAUUAUAUCCUUCCACAUACAUAUAUUUAUAUGCACAAGACAUAGUUAUUCCCACAAAAAUAACCUAACAAAAACCAAAAAUAUUAUAAUUUCUUAAACCUUAAAAAUAAUCAUUUAAUCCUUUCAAAAAAAAGUAAUCAUUUAAUAGGAAAACUUGUUUUAUCUUACCUAUGAGUCGUUGGCGAUCAAGCUCAUAUAUUUUAAAACAACCAAAACUAAAAUUUUUAAAUUAAAAACAUCAAAAUCAUCAACAAAAAUCAUCAUCGUAAUUCAUCAUCAUUUUAGCAUCAUCACCAUCAUCAUAAAUAUCAUUAUCAAUAACACAAUAAUUAUCAUAAUCAUUUUAUCAUCAUCACCAUCAUCAUCAUAAUAAUCAUUAUCAUAAAUGCAAUAAUUAUCAUAAUCAUCAUCACAAUUCCCUAAAUAAUUGGUUCCAAGUGAACCUUGGUGAGAUGUUACUCACCUAAAUAUUUCCGCUGCGUCUUCACAAAAAACACAACCAAAAGAGCCAAGCUAAUCACACCUAAAAUUACACAAUUAAUAACCUUAGUAACCAAGUACUAUAGGAUAUCAAACACUCUUAAACUAAACCUUUGUCCAACCUUAGUCCAAGGAAUGACAACCUUCUAAGGUCAUCCAAUUUAACAGCCCAAAACUAAAAUCCGAAGGUUUGCCCAAGGAGGGCAACUCUUCUUCAAGACCUCCCAAGGUCCUCGAUCACCCAAAACUACACCUCCUACAACUGCCAAAAACGGCUCCUACAUUCCAAAUCAUAAACUCAACAACCUCACACAAGCCUAAGCUUAAACUUAAAGUCCUAACAUGCAAUCCUUCCUCACAACCUAAAAUUUCCACAACUCAACAAACUCACAAUAAUAAGAGCUAGCUAACACCGAAACCUAGAGCUAGGAACUGCCAGACGGGCUGCCACUCGCCACCCCAAAACUUCAGAAUUUGGGCAAACUCAAAACAUCAAACUUGUAGAUUGAAGCGUGGUGAGCAACUUUAAUACCUAGAUGUUUAACCAGUCGGCCGGAAAAAGCCUCGAAACACCAACCCAAAUUCAAAAACCAAACCUGCAAAUCGACACCCAAACUUCAUUUUCAGGUCACCAAAGAGGUCUAAACAUCUCUAGCAGAGAGAGGAGAGCAGGACUCACCUAAAACUAGCCGGAAUCGUCGUCGAAAUCACCGGCUUUUCGGUGGAACAGCAGCAGCUCUGCCGCUUCGUGGCGGCUUCCAGGCGGCGCGACGGCGGGCGGGACUACUCCAGAAAUGGAGAGGGGAUCCGUGCGGACCGAAUGGGACUGACGGCGUCCAAUUUGGUUGUCGGAUGGAGGAGAACCGAGCUGGAGAAGAGAGGGUGCGCGGGAGCUCAGGAGAGAGGAGAGAGAGAGAGUGUGGUUUCUGAUUUUAAGGUUUCUGACACGACCCACCCCGAAUUUCACCCUGAAACCCGGAGUAAGUCGUGCGGGGACCACCUCCAAGGAAAAUUUACUGAAAAGAUUGAGAAAAUCUCCCUUGAAAAUGGACAACCCUAACUCGAAAAUUCCAAAUUACACUCUUAAUACAACACAUCCAAACAUCACAUAGUUAUCCUUCAGAAAUUCUAAACAUAAUAUACAAUAAUCCCAAAGUAUUCAGAGCUACUAGACACUAGCGGAAGCAAGAAAACACUAGUAGGUUAAACAAGUAACCUACUGAUGAAAACUGGCGUAAAUCCGGGUGACUAUGCCUCGCCUCCUACUAGAUCCAACCGGAACUUUGCAGACUGGGCAAUUUAAAACGAAGGGCCCAGGGAAAACAUUUAAUAACGUUAGAGUGAGUGGACAAAAAUAAAAUAAUAAAUAAAAUAUUUAUGUUUCCCCAAAUUAAUUUCUAAGGAAAAAUCGAAUGCAUGCCGCAAGCGAUAAAACUUUUAUCUCAUAAAAUAUUGAGUCUCUCAGACUCUAUAAUAUAUGUAUAUAUUUACACUUGUCCAUACUCCCUAUAUAAAUUCAUGAGUCUAUAUAGGGCUACUACGCUCGCGCCCAACUCUCACGUCACGCCUUAAUGCGGUGGUACACUACGCCAUUAAGGUGGACAGACGGGUGUAUAAAUAUGUGUACAUACCCCCUAUGUGAAUUAAACACUCAUAUAGGGCUACUACGCUCACGUCCAACGCUCACGUCACACCAUAAUGCGGCUAUAUGCUACGCCAUUAAAGUGGACAGACACAUAUGGCUAGCUAGCAUUUUAUAUACAUACUCUCUCAUAAAUACAUAUUUAUAUCCACCGAAAAUCCCAUUUUCGGUAACUCUCCAAGAGAAAUAAAAUUCGUCAAAUUAAAAUGACGUCAAAAUAUUCCGCAACAAUUAUUGUUCAACCAUGAACUCUAGCAUGCAUUUUAUUUAAAACAAAAGUCCACUCACUAAUUAGGCCUAAGCCUGAUGUCGAUCUGGGGCCUUGUUUGCUCGAGCCUCCUCACGUCCUGUUCCAAAUAUAAUAUUAAUUUCCCAAUUAACAAUCUAAUAUUUAAUCAAAAUAGACAAAAUUACCCGAGAGUCAUAAAUACGCUCAUCAUUGCCUAACUUCGAUAUUCUUAAAUCGGAACGAUCCGAACUUAAAUAUCAUCAUCGACAGUCGUAAAUACAACCUCCCCAAAAAAUAUGACUUAAAUCUUACGGCCGGAUUCUACAUUAAUUAACCGCCAAAAAUACCAAACUUCGAAAAUUCACAAACCUAUCCAAAUCGCAUCCAAAAAUUCCAUAAAUCACAUCAAUAAAAUCCCCUUAAUAUUCCACAUUUAAAACCCUAAAAAUCUCCCAAACCGGCGGUGGCGGCGGCUCCGCCAGCAGCGGCGGCCGGAAGCCGAUUCCCGCGACCUCCAAAACCUAUGAAAUUUUGACAGCAUCUUCCUCUCAUCAUGCUCUACAACUUCCCUAACUAGCACAAACCCAAAAUCCAAGCCUACCUAUGCCAAUCGAAUAGAAACAUCAAAAACGCCAUAAAACUUCCACCUCAAAUUUCUCCUUACCUAGCUCAAGAGGGAGUGAGUCCUUUUAGGGCAAGGCUGCUGGGUUGGAGGGCUACAAAACCGUACCAAGCUUGCCCGGAUUGGUGGCCGGAGGAGGGAGUUCCGGCGAAAAGCUUCCCGGCGUCUCCGGCGAGUUUUCUCUUCUUCCGGCGGGCUAACGGCUCGGGGGCUAGGCCGGGGAGGGAGAGGAGGAGAUGGGGGUCUGAACUGAGGUGGAGAGGUGGCUGGUGGCUGGCCGGACAGCGACAGCUGGCAGCUGGAAGUUUCCAGUGAAAGGGGAGAGAGCACGGGAAGGAGAAGGAAGAGAAAAGAGAAAGAAAAAAAAGAGAAGAAGAAAUAGGCUUGGGCCUCCUACCCGGUUCAAGUCCUAUAUAUAACCCAAUUCCAAAAAUAAAACACCCCGAAAAAAUAAUACCCGAAUAAAAAAUUACCUUUUACUGGCUAAAAUUUACCAUUUUUACCGUCGUCAUAUUUUCCUCCUACGAACAAUCCUCCGCACAUAAUCGUCCCCGAAACCCCUCUAGGGACCAAUUAAACUAUUAACUCAAUGACGAAGACGGAAAAAUUCUUAUUAUAACCAAGCUAGUAAAUAAGGUAAAAUAUAAGGGUCGGGAUGUGACAAUUCUCCCCUCCUUGAAAAAAUUUCGUCCUCGAAAUUAACAUACCUGUUAUUCGAAGAGAUAGGGAUACUGCUACAUCAUUUGCCCCUCUGAUUCCCAAGUAGCUUCUUCUACUUGAUGACUUCUCCAAAGCACCUUGACAAGUGGGAUUGUCUUAUUCCUAAGCACUUGCUCCUUUCGGUCGAGAAUCUGAACCGGUUCCUCUUCAUAGGUCAAAUCUCUCGCCAAACUGAUCGGCUGCUCUUGCAACAUAUGAGAAGGAUCGACAAUAUACUUGCGAAGCAUGGAUACAUGAAACACAUUAUGUAUCCGGGAUAACUCUGGAGGCAAGGCUAAUCGAUAAGCAAGUGAGCCCACUCGCUCUAAUAUCUCAUAAGGGCCAAUAUACCUCGGACUAAGCUUCCCACGCUUACCGAAACGUAGUACCCCUUUCCAAGGAGAUAGUUUCAAGAACACCCAAUCACCCACUUGAAACUCAAGGUCUCUCCUAUGGACAUCUGCAUAACUCUUCUGCCUACUUUGAGAGGUCUUCAGUCUAUCUCUAACAACUUUAAUCUUCUCAUUCGUAACAUGGAUUAACUUUGGGCCACAAAGCUCUUUUUCCCCUACUUCAUUCCAACACAAAGGCGUGCGACACUGCCUCCCAUAAAGAGUCUCAAAGGGAGCCAUACCAAUGCUAGAAUGAUAGCUAUUAUUAUAGGCAAAUUCCAUCAAAGAUAGGUUUUUAUCCCAACUCCCUCUGAACUGCAAGGCACAAGGCCUCAACAUAUCCUCCAAAGUCUGAAUAGUCCUCUUGGACUGCUCAUCAGUCUGAGGAUAAAAAACAGUGCUGAAGAGUAAUUGGGUACCUAAAGCUGCAUGAAGAGCUCCCCAGAAUUUAGAAGCAAAUCGAGGAUCCCGAUCUGACACUAUUGAUUCAGGAACACCAUGAAGCCUCACAAUUUCAUUCACAUAGAGCUCCGCCAAUUUAUCCAAUUUAUACUUCUUUCCCACUGGCAAGAAAUGUGCAGACUUGGUGAGUCUAUCCACAAUCACCCAAAUAUCAUCAUGCCCAUCACGGGUACGAGGUAAACUAAAAACAAAAUCCAUGGUGAUGUAGUCCCACUUCCACACUGGAAUAGGCAAUGGCUCAAGCAAUCCAGAAGGCUUCUACUUCCUGACAAACCAGACAUCUACUCACAUAAGCUGCAAUUUCCCUCUUCAUGUUUGGCCACCAAUAAUAAUCCUUCAAAAUCCGAUACAUUUUUGUGCUACCCGGAUGAGCAGCAUAUGCGGAGCUAUGAGCUUCCUCCAUAAUCUUACUCUUCAACUCUUCAUUUCUUUUUGGAUGACAUAGCCGAUUCUUAAACAAUAGAGUCCCAUCUCUUCUAACUGAAAAAUGAUCGGCUGCGGCUCCAUUCGAAGCUCUUUCCAUCAAUCGAACUAUGGAAGGAUCAUUAUACUGUGCUUCCUGCACUCUAUCAACCAAAACUGGCCUCACAUGAAAACUGGCUAUUAAAGCACCAACCUCAUCUACUGAUAAAUCCACUCUUGUAGCUCGCAACUCACAAAGAAGCAGAACACGAACCAUAUUUAUAUGAGAUAAAGAUAUGGAGGGAUUUCGACUAAGAGCAUCAACUACCACAUUAGCUUUUUCAGGAUGAUACUCAAUAGUGCAAUCGUAAUCAUUGAUUAACUUCAUCCACCUUCUCUGUCUCAUAUUUAGCUCUCUUUGAGUGAAUACAUACCGAAGACUCUUGUGAUCGGUAAAAAUCUGACACUUGGCUCCAUAAAGAUAGUGUCUCCACAACUUGAGAGCAAAAACUACCGCUGCAAGCUCCAGAUCAUGGGUAUGAUAAUUCCCCUCAUGCGGCUUCAAUUGCCUAGAAGCGUAGGCAAUAACUCGAUCAUGCUGCAUCAAAACUCCACCUAGACCACGUCUAGAAGCAUCACAAUAGACCACAUACUCUCCACUAUCAUCCGGAAGUGCCAAAACAGGAGCACUUGUUAAGCAAUUCUUCAAUUCUUGGAAACUUUGCUCACAUUGAUCUGACCAUUCAAACUUAAACCCCUUCCUGGUCAAUCUUGUCAGAGGAGCAGCAAUGUUUGAAAAAUCUUUCAUAAAGCGUCGAUAAUAACCUGCUAAUCCCAAGAAACUACGAAUCUCCGCCACAGUGGUGGGUCUUCUCCAAUUCGACACUGCUUCCACCUUUUGGGGAUCCACACUAACUCCUUCUGCAGAAAUCACAUGACCCAAAAACUCCACUUUAUCUAGCCAAAACUCACACUUGCUAAACUUAGCAAAUAACUGCGACUUUUCCAAAGUCCGCAAUAUUAUUCUUAGAUGCUUGGCAUGCUCCUUCUCACUUCUUGAGUAAACCAAUAUAUCAUCUAUGAAUACGAUCACGAAACGAUCAAGGUAUGGACUAAACACCCUAUUCAUGAGAUCCAUGAACGCCGCGGGUGCAUUAGUAAGUCCAAAAGGCAUCACCACAAACUCAUAAUGACCAUAUCGUGACCGAAAAGCAGUCUUGGCUAUGUCCCCCUCUCGGAUCCGCAACUGAUGAUAACCCGAUCUCAAAUCAAUCUUAGAGAAAACAGAGGCACCCCUNAACUGAUCAAAUAAUCAUCGAUCCGAGGCAACGGAUAUUUANNNNNNNNNNNNNNNNNNNNAAAACAAUCUACUAUAGCUCUAUAUGCUUCCAAAAAGUCCAUUCCUAAGAUCACAUCAAACUCCACUAUAUCUAAAGGAAUUAAAUCAAUCUCGAAAUUAACUCCUUCCACUAAAACUUCACAACCACCAAAUACCCAAUUUAUUCUCAUCACUUCACCGGAGGGUAGAGACACAUGCCACUCGCCUGGAAGAGACGAUGACGACACAUUGGCAUGGAGGGCAAAUCUACUAGACAUGAAUGAAUGCAUGGCUCCGGGAUCAAUUAAAGUAAAAGCAGGCUGACCAAAAAUUAAUAACGUACCAAUGAUGACAUCUGGAGAAGUACGACCCUCCUGCUGGGUCAUAGCAUGCAGUCUAGCGCGAGUCAUGGGACGUCCACGCUGACCACUUCCCCGCUGAGAGCCAUCUCUGACCGAAGCACUGCCCUGGGCACCACUACUAGAGCCUCUAACUGAAGACUGACCAACUGGCUGAGUAGGGGUGGGGGUCGUCCUCUGAGCCAAUAAUGGACAAUCUCUCCUGAAGUGGUCUUGACUACCACACUCAAAGCACCCAGAAAACUGCUGCUGCCCAUAAGAAAAAGUCUGGCUACCGGAUGACCCACCAUGGAAGCUACCACCAGAAUCAUACUGCCCAGACUGCUGCCUACCCAACUGACUCCUAGCAGGUCUCUUGUGACGUCCUCUAACCCUGAACCGAGAAUUAGAACCUGAUCCCCCACUACUGCCACUACCAGCUGAAGAACCAGAAGCGGAUAAUGAAGCAGCUUUCUUGGAUGGACCCUGACUAGGGCCACCGAAAUCUCGUGGCCGAGCACUAUAAAUCCCCAUAGACUCAAUGGUCAUGGCUGCAUGAACAACAUCAGGACAAGUCGGGUAAUAAACACCCGUCAUCUUAUUUGCAAACACUCCACCAAGUGCCCCAAUGAACAUCUUCAUCCUGGUCCUCUCAUUAGGAACCAAAUAUGACACAUGGUAGCUCAGGGAAGUGAAUCUCUCUUCGAACUCUAUAACACCCUCAUCAUCCCUCUUCUUCAUAUUCAGGAAAUCCGACUGAAUUCUGCUGCGGUGGGCAGGACUGAAAUACUACCCCAAGAAAAGUGUCUUAAACUGCUCCCACGACAUAUUCAGAGCAUCCACAACAUUCCUGCUAGCGAGCGACCACCAGUGAUGUGCUGAAUCAUCUAGGAAAGUCACUGCCAUCUUCACCUUCCUUUCUUCUGGCAAAUCUGUGCUCGCAAAAGCCUUUUCCAUUUUGUCUGCCCAAGUAUAAGCAUCAAGAUGUCCCUUGGCACCCUUGAACUCUCUUGCUCCAGCCUUAUAAACUUCUCUCCUCUUCACUGUAUAAGGGUGUGGAGCUCGAUCUAUAACAUCCCUCAGCAUAUUUCCAAUAUCAUCAACCAGUCCCCUGACCUCAUUGCCCUCAUCGGCAUUGGUCGAAGUAGCCAUACGGGGUUGCCGUGGGCGCCUAGGAGGCAUAGUACCUGAGGAAGAAGAAAUUUAGUAGUCCAUAAACAAGACUAACACAACAAUCACAUAUACCCAAUAACACAUAGCAUCAAAAGCAUAAAAUGCCAAUGAAUCCGCCGCGGUCGGAUCAUCACUCUAUAGACACUACGUGCUACUUAAGCAAAUAUGAUAGUGACAAGGAAGCAGGAAAAGGAAACCUAUAGCUCUGAUACCAACUGACACGACCCACCCCGAAUUUCACCCUGAAACCUGGAGUAAGUCGUGCGGGGACCACCUCCAAGGAAAAUUUACUAAAAAGAUUGAGAAAAUCUCCCUUGAAAAUGGACAACCCUAACUCGAAAAUUCCAAAUUACACUCUUAAUACAACACGUCCAAACAUCACAUAAUUAUCCUUCAGAAAUUCUAAACAUAAUAUACAAUAAUCCCAAAGUAUUCAGAGCUACUAGACACUAGCGGAAGCAAGAAAACACUAGUAGGUUAAACAGGUAACCUACUGAUGAAAACUAGCCUCGCCUCCUACUAGAUCCAACCCGAACUCUACAGACUGGGCAAUUUAAAACGAAGGGCCCAGGGAAAACAUUUAAUAACGUUAAAGUGAGUGGACAAAAAUAAAAUAAUAAAUAAAAUAUUUAUGUUUACCCAAAUUAAUUUCUAAGGAAAAAUCGAAUGCAUGCCGCAAGCGAUAAAACUUUUAUCUCAUAAAAUAUCGAGUCUCUCAGACUCUAUAAUAUAUGUAUGUAUUUACACUCGUCCAUACUCCCUAUAUAAAUUCAUGGGUUUAUAUAGGGCUAUUACGCUCGCGUCCAACGCUCAUGUCACGCCUUAAUGCGGUGCUACACUACGCCAUUAAGGUGGACAAACGGGUGUAUAAAUGUGUCCAUACCCCCUAUGUGAAUUAAACACUCAUGUAAGGCUACUACGCUCACGUCCAACGCUCACGUCACACCAUAAUGCGGCUAUAUGCUACGCCAUUAUGGUGGACAGACACAUAUGGCUAGCUAGCAUUUUAUAUACAUACUCUCUCCUAAAUACAUAUUUAUAUCCACCGAAAAUCUCAUUUUCGGUAACUCUCCAAGAGAAAUAAAAUUCGUUAAAUUAAAAUGACGUUAAAAUAUUCCGCAACAAUUAUUGUUCAACCAUGAACUCUAGCAUGCAUUUUAUUUAAAACAAAAGUCCACUCACUAAUUAGGCCUAAGCCUGAUGUCGAUCUGGGGCCUCGUUUGCUCGAGCCUCCUCACGUCCUGUUCCAAAUAUAAUAUUAAUUUCCCAAUUAACAAUCCAAUAUUUAAUCAAAAUAGGCAAAAUUACCCGAGAGCCAUAAAUACGCUCAUCAUUGCCUAACUUCGAUAUUCUUAAAUCGGAACGAUCCGAACUUAAAUAUCAUCCUCGACAGUCGUAAAUACAACUUCCCCAAAAAAUACGACUUAAAUCUUACGGCCGGAUUCUACAUUAAUUAACCGCCAAAAAUACCCAACUUCGGAAAUUCACAAACCUAUCCAAAUCUCAUCCAAAAAUUCCAUAAAUCACAUCAAUAUAAUCCCCUUAAUAUUCCACAUUUAAAACCCUAAAAAUCUCCCAAACCGCUGGCGGCGGCCGGAGGCCGAUUCCGGCGACCUCCAAAACCUAUGAAAUUUUGACAGCAUCUUCCUCUCAUCAUGCUCUACAACUUCCCUAACUAGCACAAACCCAAAAUCCAAGCCUAGCUAUGCCAAUCGAACAGAAACAUCAAAAACGCCAUAAACUUCCACCUCAAAUUUCUCCUUACCUAGCUCAAGAGGGAGUGAGUCCUUUUAGGGCAAGGCUGCUGGGUUGGAGGGCUACAAAACUGUACCAAGCUUGCCCGGAUUGGUGGCCGGAGGAGAGAAUUCCGGCGAAAAGCUUCUCGGCGUCUCCGGCGAGUUUUCUCUUCUUCCGACGGGCUAACGGCUCGGGGGCUAGGCCGGGGAGGGAGAGGAGGAGAUGGGGGUCUGAACUGAGGUGGAGAGGUGGCUGGUGGCUGGCCGGACGGUGGCAGCUGGCAGCUGGAAGUUUCCGGCGAAAGGGGAGAGAGCACGGGAAGGAGAAGGAAGAGAAAAGAGAAAGAAAAAAAGAGAAGAAGAAAUAGGCUUGGGCCUCCUACCCGGUCCAAGUCCUAUAUACAAUCCAAUUCCAAAAAUAAAACACCCCGAAAAAAUAAUACCCGAAUAAAAAAAUACAUUUUACUAGCUAAAAUUUACCAUUUUUACCGUCGUCAUAUUUUUCUCCUACGAACAAUCCUCCGCACAUAAUCGUCCCCGAAACCCCUCUAGGGACCAAUUAAACUAUUAACUCAAUGACGAAGACGGUAAAAUUCUUAUUAUAACCAAGCUAGUAAAUAAGGUAAAAUAUAAGGGUCGGGAUGUGAAAGUUUCCAAAAUAACCCACACACAUUUUUCUACUUAUACACUUUUCAAACCCGGAAACUAACUUCCUCUGACCAUAACUUCCUCAUACGAAGUCCGUUUUACGCGUGUCACGUGUCUACGAACUCGUAUCGCUAUGCUCUACAACUUCCGUGAAGGAAGUUUCAUAAGAAACCCAAUGAAUAAAAAGUCAAGUAAAAAGUAAACCGAAAAAAAUAAAUAGAAACUAGUAUCUAAAAUUCCGGGAUAUUACAGCGGGGUCUUCAAAUCUCUUAUCUCUAUGGUAU